rnacentral:lncRNA from 1 species
UGGGCCUUUCUUCCUUAUUUCCUGAUAACCCCCUGCAGAAAUAGACAAACACCAAAACUCGUGGAAUUCUGUCAGAUAAAACCCUAAGUCUCGAUGUUGAUUUCAUUUGGAUCCUUUUCUUUGUUUAUUUGAUAGUUAAAUUUGAUACUUAAGGACCGUCAACAAACUCCCCCAAGCUUACCUCUUGCUCGUCCCUGAGCAAGGAUAGACUCAGCUAUGGAUCAUAAGUUGUUGCAAUAUCUUUAAAAAUUGAUGGUACACAUGCUUUUAAAUGAGGUCUCAUCUCUGAGUUAGAGUAAACUGUCAAGACUUAAAACUUACUUACUUUACCUUUCACCAUGGGACUUGUAACCGUCACUUCUGUCUUGAGUGGUUAAAAGAUAGAACAGUCCAGUCAAGUGCCAUGUCGCUUAUUCUUGAUCAGCUAUAGCUCUGGAGUUUUUUGUAGAUUUCCAAAUAAAAUUCAGAGAUUUCUUGUAUGACUCUCUAAAUCUCUCUUUUGUGGUAUUUCUGGAUCCUUACCAAGGCAGUGAUGGUAUAUGCCUUCUCUCAAGAUAUGUGGUAUUUGUGGUAUAAGGCAUAGUGACAUUGCCUUCUCUCUCACCCUACUCUAAUAAGGCUUUAAUAUCUGGAGCUCAUAGGUGGGAGACAUCUAAUACAUACUUACAAGACAUUUAUUGCAUAGUCAAACCAUGGAUCCAGAAAACAAGUCAAUAAGUCAAAUCAAGAUGUGCAUGUGUGGCGAAUGAAUGGUGUAUAGUGAUGAUGGUGAUAACAAUGGUGAAAGUCUAAUUCUACUUUUGCUCUUAUGAGGGGAUACAUACCUUCCUUGUUUUUUGAAACUUUAUGAGGAGAAUGAGAUGCUCUUCUUUUUCUUUCCUCUCAGGUGGGUAUCUUGUACCCCUAAUUCUACUGUCGGACACUUGUCAAUUUUUACCUCUCGUCUCACUUUUUCUUUCUUUCGAGGUUCCGGGCACUUGCCCCUUUUUAUUUCCUCGUUUAUUAUUAUUAUUUUUUCUCUUUUCUUCUCUUUUCUUCUUUUUUUCAGAGCACUCAUCUCCUGAAAUAAUGUGGCAAGUGGUAGUAACCAAAAUAACUGGAACAUUUAUUUCACAGGGAAUAACAGGGAUAGGAAAAUGUUUUUGGCUAUUCUCUCCCGGAUUAGGAGUAGAAUGAUUUUGGGUGAAACUGGAGAUGGAAAUGGAUGGAUAUAUGUGGAUGGUACUUCCGGAGUAGAAGUAGCAUAUAUGAGUGAAUGUGCAAGUGAAUCUUGAUUUAACCACAUGACAAGCUCCUAAGGGUCUACACAGCUUGACCACACUCAAUGCUCAUAAGCAGUAAAUAAAUGUGUGGCUCAAAGUCUAGCAAGCAUGUAUAUAUGGCUGUGGUAGGAAUUUAAACUUUCAUCAUACAGGAACUCAUCAUGCAAUAUUUUAAAGAUUUUUUAAAGAUAAAAUUCUCCAGAAUUCUAGCAUCUCUAGGAAUAGAUAAACAGCAGCUCAACCUUCCCAUAUCAUAUCCGUUAACAACUUAGAUUUCAGAUCAAGUUUUCAUCCCUCAAGUUUAGAUCUAGAGCAAGCUUUAAAUUAUAACAGUUAUGUCUAAACUUGAGAGAGAACUUCAAAUUUGCAAAUUAGGCAGAGCAACUAUUCAUCAUAUCCAUGCUAGAGUUUUAUUAUUAAGAUUCAUAGCAAACUUUAUUUAUUUAUUUAGCAAACUAAGAAAAGAUGUAUAUAUAUAUAAGCAUAAAAUCUUUAUUUGGUUUUUCAUAGUUUAUGUAUUUUAAUAUUCUAAUAUAAUAUAAGUAUAAAGAUAUGUAGAAAUACUUAGCGAGAUAAAUAGGGGUGCUCUCCCCCAAGCUGAAUUUUGACGUAAUUUCUCUUGAUGUAGCUAGCAGGUGGCAGAGGUGUAUUUGAAAGUCAGCAGCAUUCUGACAGCGAUUAGAAUGUCCUCCGUCUGCUAGUCUUCUUGACUCUUAAAUUCGGUGGAGCUCAAAUAGACAACAAAGCUUGUGGAACUAAUUAAGUGUUAGCAUAAAUAUCUAGCCUUCAUCACGUUGAGCUUCCUCAAUAAAUAUUACUCCCUAUUUUUAUAUUUUUAUUUUAUAAAGUAGAAAAGAAAUAUUUAUUUUAUUUUUAUGCCACCACAGUGAAGGUACUUAUGGGUUUUAUGCCACUUGUAUACUCACAUGGGGCUUAGUAUUUUUUAACAUUUUUAUUUUCUUUUCAAGAUAGCAUGAUUAACUAAAAAUCUAUUUAAGGAAAGUAAAUAAUUAAAGGGAAAAGGGAAUGCAGAAAGGAUAAAUAUGGAUAACUACCAAUCUUACCUUUCAGCGAGGGUUCAAUGUUUUAAGUCUUCUUGACAAGACUUCUCACCGUGUUCAUUCUUUAGGUGCGUCAUUUGAUUCAGGUGCGGACCUUGACGUCUGCACCUUUUAAUACGGUGUCACCCAUGUUCUUCGUUUGCCCAGCAGUUCGAAGUGAGGUGUUAGCAGUAUCUUGCUCAGUGUGUUUGUGCUCGUAGUGUACCUGCUCAUAGAGACAAGGCAGAGAUCAAGUGCAUGGGCCCUGUUGGUGGAAAACACCAACAGAACCAAAAGUGUAUUUGUUCUUCUCUAACCUUAUGCAUAGUGAGCAAGACAAAGUUGAUGGAUGAUAAGUUCAUGAGUGUAGCACUUAUAACAUUUGUCAGAUCAGAUCGCUCAACCUUAUGGAAAGAUAAUCUAUUUAUGUAUAUGUCUUUUUCUUUACAUCUCUCAAUGAUUGAAUGUGUAACAUUUUAGCUCAUAUGAUUAGGAGUGUGGGAUCAUGGAGGUAGUACUAAGAACAAGGAUUAAAGGACUAAACAUGUUGAAUCAGUUGGGUUGGUUAAUCUAGAGUUGUAAAUCAUACACGUUUGUCUCUUUUAUUUAUAUGAACGCCAGAACCAAGGAGAAGCUUAUAAAAGUGAUAGUCAAGUACCUUAGGAUGUUACCUUGCUUGAAAAGUGAUGGUACAGUAUCACCUUGUGGAAGCUUUCCUUUCUUAGCGGUUGUGCAUCGUGUUUGUGGCACCCUCCAUGGAUCAUCUCUCUAUGAUGAAUGAGCUAUGUCCUUCUUGUGCUAAUUGUUGAACUUCAUGUGUCACUUUCUUCGUCUCUGAUGUGAGUUUAUCUUAGGACUUCCCAAAUCGAUAUCGAAAGUUUUUCUGCAGGGGUUAGUCCGACAAAAUAUACCAAUAUCUACUCAAGCAGUUUUUUUAGUUCAAUAACCAAACUAGACUCCAUGUCUAAUCAGAUUAAGGAAGGCUAUUCAACCUAAGCACCAUGCUUAAUUUAAAUGCCAAUGGAAGUAUGGCGAGUACUUCCAAACCAACACUUGCUAGUAAAUAGACAAAGGUAGCAUGACAGCAUUUAUGGAGAUUUACUCAAGUAGAGAUGAAGUAGUGUGAUUAGUAUUUAACAAAUUGAGCAUGUCUCAAAGGUAGGGACAACCAGCAUAGCAACAUGGCAAAGGAUGUUUUUAUGUAAAGUACUCCCCCAAGCUUGAAUUUUGCAAAAUUCAAGUUUGGAUGAAUUUAAUUCAAUGUUUUAUGAUGAUUGGUUGGACAUACCUUGUGCUUGUCAUUCAUCCGAUCUUCUUGCUCCAAUCUUAGAAAGGUUAGUGACAAGAAUACCCGAAGGAAUAUUUUUUUACAACUAUCCUUAUAUGCUCAAUACACAAGGUAAUGUUGCAAAUAAUUAAAAGCUUAUGUUACGAUCUGAUCAAUGCUUAUUUUAAGACACUAAGCUUGUCCUUGGGAAACCAUCAGUUUAUGUUGGCGAAGUGGUUUCCCCUCCGACGCCAACCUAUAUCUAGAUCAACUCAACGAGAUCUGCAAUAUUUAUUAUAGACAUAUGCAUCGACAACCGCCCUUUUAAAGUUUUUAUAAAUAGAAAGGAAGAGGGGGUUGGAGAUCUCAAGUGUGGUGAUGUCGGAGAGACCAAUAGAUUGGGAAGAUGUUGCAUAUGAGCAUGGAGUAAACGAAGUGGCUAUGAAAUAAAUUCCAUGCUCAUUAAUGUUAUCUUCGUCUCCAAUCUGAAUGUUCGGAGUUUCUCCUGGAUUGGUCUCACCUAUGUCCUAUUCUGUAGUUGGAUGAAUCUCAUCUUCAAAGGGAGUCAAGAACUCACCAUUUGAAAUUGAGCCAAAGUCAGAACCCAUUAAGGCUUCUUCCUUAUCCAUCCAUUUUACACAUUCUAGCCAUUUAGAACUUGUGAUCAAAAUAGGGGAGGUGUUAGAAUUUUCUAUAUGGCUUAGCUCUCCUUCUAUGGCAUUACUUGACAUGCCAUCCUUAUGGUCUUCAUGACUCCUAUGGUUUGGUCGUCUUGGUGAAUUGCUAGGAUCAUCAUGAGACUGAAAAGAAGAGGGAUAAGAGGGAUCUCUAAGGUCAAGGAUGGAUUUAGAACUUGUGAACAUGGAAGGGGAGUAGAUAGAAUUGUCUAUAUGGCUUUGCUCUCCUUCACUUGAUAUGUCAUCCCCGACUUCUUCAUGAUAGGAACCAGGACAUUCUCUAAGAGAAACAUUAUUGCAAUGAUUUGAAUUAUCCCUGCUUGAAGGUCUCUUAUAGAACCAGAAGUCUAAAUCAUCAGCAUCUAAAAGAUUUAAGGUCGGAAUUCCUUCCUCCCUUGGAGAAUUUUGGGGUAUUGAUGGUUUAGGAUCGAUAGCUAAAGUUUGGGAUUGAAAUGGUUGUGAUCUGGCUAUCGAAACUUCUUCUUCUUGUCUAGGAACUGGUUCUUUCUUUUUCUCAGGGAUAUAAAAGCUAGGAGACUUUCCGCUCAUUAAAUCAAUCAAAUUCCAAGCUUCACUAGCAGAUAGGUGGUGGAAAGAUCCUCCAGAGGCCGCAUGAAGGGUUUGCUUAUUUUUCCUACUAAGGCCCUCAAAAAAGUGAAUUAGAAGAACUUCUUCUGGAAUAGAAAGUUUUGGGCCAGUGAGAGUAAGGUUAAUAAAGCGGUCCCAUGAUUUGCCAAGAGAUUCUUCUUCCAGUUGUCUAAAAGAAAGAAUCUCACGCCGAAGUUCCACCACUUUGGAGAUUGGAAAAUAUUUAGAAAGAAAAAUACUAUAUAACUCCUUCCAAUCUCCAUGAACACUCCCUACUUUGAGUUUAUACCAAUGUCUAGCUUUUCCCGUUAAAGAGAACGGAAAGAGCUUCCAUUUGAGGGUCUCAUCGGACAUUCCUUCUAUGCGAAGGAGGUCACAGACUCGAUAAAACUCUCUUAAGUGUGUGUAUGGGUUUUCCUCACCUUCUCCUGAGAAAGGUUGUUUUUGAAUAAAUUCUAUGUAUUCGGGGUCUAUCUCAAAACUAGAUGCUAUGAUAGGCUUUGAAGAUUUUGGUGGUUCGAGAUGUGUGUUGACGGUCCUUAAGUAUCAAAUUUAAUUAUCAAAUAAAUAAAGAAAAGGAUCCAAAUGAAAUCAAGAUCUAGACUUAGGGUUUUAUCUGACAGAAUUCCACGAGUUUUGGUGUUUGUCUAUUUCUGCAGGGGGUUAUCAGGAAAUAUGGAAGAAAGACCCACAUGUCAGGAUUACGUAAAGAUAUUAACGUGCUGCGCAAUUAUCUUACAUCUAGAAGACUCCAGAAGCCACGAGACCGAAGCGGAGGCGAAACGGGGCCAGAGACAGGGCGCCCGCCCUGUCCUACUGGGCGCCCGCCCCCUGUCCAAGUCCAAUCAGGACUCUGCUUUGCGGGAAGUCUCCACCGACCUAAAGGAUGAAUCUAAACCAUACAAUCUAUGUCGGUUUGAUCCAAGGGCCCAUAUUCACUUGAAGGGACUAUAAAACCAGACCCCCUGGCCCCUGGAGGAGGGAGCCUCUCAACCCUAAUUCAUUGUUCCAUCAAGGGAGAAGAAGCCUCUGAUCAAGAUUAGAGCCACCACAUCAAUUAGAUAUCUAGAUUAGCAUAGCUACAUAGGAUCAGAACUAGAAGGAGUCAAUCUUCGAUUGGUUUCCGGAUCUGUCAAGAGGAUUCUUGGUAAUUCUCUAAUUGUGUUUCUAAUUACUUUCUAAUUAUCUUUGUUCUUCAAUAUUAUGAAUAUGACUUUGUUCUACUUCAAUAUAUUGCUUAUGACUUUGCUCUAUUUGCUCAUAUUCAAGAUUAUAUUGUUCUUAGUUUAUCAUAGUUAUGUACUUGGCUUAGUUAGAUACGAUCUAUAUACAUGCUUAGGAUCGUAUAGCGUUUAUCCAUCGGAUCCAUGGGUAAAUGAUAGAUAUUGUGUAGGCGUGGUGCUUAUACCGUAUUUAUCUGCGAUUGUACCCAAUAUGCCAGAUCGUGGGGUAGUUCGUGAUAGUGACAGCUUUAUUGAUUCUUAUAUAGUCCCCCUCUCGUGUAUUGGGCUGGCAGAGCAACAUUAUUACAGUGGAGUGAUUGUUAUGUUUCUCAUAUUCCUUGCUAAUAUCACUAUGCAUGGGCGUAGUCUUGUCUCACAAUGAUUGCUAAGUAUGCUUGCACUAACUAUGAUAUGCUAGACUAUAUAGUUAAGAAUAACUUAGGGAGUAUUCUUGUAGUUCGUUCUAAUACCAUGCUAAUGACUUUCUAGAGUAUCUAAUUGAGGUGCUUAUCAUAUUUAUUAUGUGGCUAGAUCAGAUUAGUUAUCCUUGUCACUAUUAUUAUUUCAUAUAUCUUUUAUGUGACAUUUAUCCCUGUAUGAUGAGUUAUAGAUAAUGUUCUCAAUUAUACAUGCAAUGAUAGAUGCUCAAUCUCAUAUUCUAUUCUGUAAGCAAUAGUGAUGAUUGCUAAUCCCUUCCAGUGGUAAAAAUAUAAAUAACGAUAUCUGGAAUACUUCCCGGUUAAAAUGCUACAUCGGUAUUAAUCUGUGCGCUUGCAGAUCCCAUUCAUUAUUUAUUUAGAAGAGCAAUUGCAUAUUUCAAUACCGCGUCUCUCAUAUCAUGCUGGGGAUGACAACUUGGCUUAAGUGGUGUGAGGGAUAGGUUUGGCAUUUUUGGCACCGUUGCUAGAUUUAGAACUUAGUCUACUUUUAGUAAUGAUGUUAAGAAUACCCAACAAGCAUUUUUGGCGCCGUUGCCGGGGAAGGUUGAUUACUAAUCAGGAAUGGAAUAAAAGAUUUUGAGUUAUCAUUCGCAUCACUAAUAUGAUUGAGCUUAUCUAUUCUCUCAUACAGUUUUACCCUGAUAUUUUUCUAUUUUAUCUUAUGCAGGGGAAUGUAUGAAUAGAAGACAUCUUCCAGGGAAUUUUGUUGACGAUCCUGAAGCAUUAUUCAAGAAGACGAGGGCCAAGCUCAAGAAGAGAUCAUCAACACUUCAUGAAGAAGCUUCAUCCAAUCAAGAAGAUCACCGGAACUUGUCUUCAGAGUUCGAAGCCAUGGCGAACAAAUCAAUCCACGAGUUCUCAGCUCCCACUACGGACAACAUCCGCACUGGACCUGCUGCAGAGAUCGAUGGCAACUUUGAGCUCAAGCCUGGACUUAUCAACAUGGUGCAAUCCAACCAGUUCUGUGGGAAGGCACACGAAGAUGCUAGUGCUCAUUUACAACACUUCCUGGAGAUUUGCAACACAUUCACCAUAGCAGGAGUUUCCAAAGACGCUAUACUACUUCGCCUCUUCCCAUUCUCACUGUUAGGAAGAGCGAAGCAGUGGUUCUACGCUACAAAGGAGAAGAAUACUACGUGGGCACUCUGCUCAACAAACUUCCUGGCAAAAUUCUUUCCCAUGGGCAAGACCAAUGCUCUCCGUGGGAAGAUUACAAGUUUUCAGCAACAAAAUGAUGAAUCUGUUCCAGAAGCAUGGGAGCGCUUUCAAGACUACAUCCUAGAAUGUCCCCAUCAUGGAAUGGAGAGUUGGCUAUUGAUGCAGACGUUUUAUCAUGGGCUCAGCAACAGUGCCCGAGAGACCAUGGAUGCUGCAGCUGGAGGAGCAUUCUUAUCACUUACUAUACCACAAGCCACAGCUCUUGUGGAGAAGAUGGCGUCCAACCGAAGCUGGAAUGAAGAGAGGACCCAGACACGCAAGAGAGGUGGAGGUAUGCAUCAGCUGAAGGAGGUAGACAUGCUGUCUGCAAAGCUAGACCUGCUCAUGAAGAAGCUCGAUGAUAGAGCUGGAGACAAGAAAGAAGUUAUGCACAUCUACGACUCUCACAUGACUUGUGAGGAGUGUGGAGACACUGGACACUCAGGCAACCACUGCCCUGAGAUACUUGAGGAUGUGAACUACAUCAACAACAACAACAACAACUACUACAACCGUCCUCAACAAAAUCAAGGUUGGAAUCAACAGAGGCCUAACUACUCAGGUAAUUAUCAAGGUAACAAUUCUUACAACAAUAAUAAUAAUUUUCCACCUUUGAGAGAGUUAGUGUCUAAUCAAGGAAAGCUAAUGGAUAAUCUAUCUAAGAAAUUGGCAUCUAAUGAUAAAAUACUAGAAAAUAUAAAUAAUAGAAUGGAUAAUUUUUCUACUGCCAUCAAGAAUCAAAUUAGCUUUAAUAAAAUGAUUGAAUCUCAGUUAAAUCAAAUAGCUGCUGCUGUUCCUACUACUAACCCCGGUAUACCAUCACAACCGGAAGGAUUAGAAUCUGCAAAUCUUGUAGACACGUUUGAUGUAGGUAAUUGGAGUAACCCCGUCACUGAAUUUUCUACUGACCGUCUGCCGGUCAAGAGAGGCGAUCCAGGACGCCCCGUCAUCCCGAUCUCCAUCGGCAUGGUGGACUUCCCAGAAGCACUCUGUGACUUUGGCUCUAGCGUCAACAUUAUACCCAGGGUACUCUAUGAAAAAUUCUUUACAUAUCCUUUAUUAGAGACAACCAUGUGUUUGCAGUUUGCAGAUCAGACGAUAACUUUUCCAAAAGGAAUAGUGAGGAACCUUUGUGUCCGAGUUGGUACCUUGUAUGCACCAGCAGACUUCGUAGUGGAAGAGACCGGAAAUGAUGAGAGAGCACCUAUCAUCUUAGGGAGGCCAUUCUUGAACACCACGGGAGCUAUCAUCUACGCCAGUGCUGCCAAGAUCAGUUUCUAUGUCAAAGGGAAGAAGGAGACAUUUUUCUUCAAGAACAAGACUACACAAAUUCCAAAUCAAUCCAGACGUGAAUCAAGGAAGAGGACCAACAGGAGGAACAGGAACAAGCAAGUGUGGACCGAGUCAGCUAAGAUGGUCACUGUAGUCCAUGGAGGCCAAGAUCACCAACUGAAGUCACCGUUUUUGACCAAGAAGGACGACCCAGGAAUGCCAAGCAUUUACUGCUCCAUAAAUGGAUACAACUUCUACAAGACGAUUUGCGACACCGGAUCAGGCGUCAACAUAAUGGCCGCAGUCACCUAUCGGCUCUUGUUCGGGACCAUGCCAUUAAGACCAACAUACAUUCAGCUCCAGAUGGCAGAUCAGACAUUUCGAGAAGUUCAAGGAAUAGUAUCUGAUGUCCCAGUCAAAAUAGACGAUCACUUUGUCUACACAGACUUUCAAGUUGUUGACAUGGGAGAAGACGAGUAUGAUCCACCCAUCAUCCUUGGAAGGCCAUUCCUCAGCACCGUUAAAGCAAUUAUCUACAUUGGAACCAGAGAAGUCCAUAUGCACUUCCCCUCAGAGAAGGUACGCCGUUAUUUUACUGACCCUAACUAUAUCGUUGAAGAAUCUAAGCAGGUCAGAAAGAGACGCAACCGCAACCAGAGGAGGCAGAUCAUCAAGGACGGAUGGGCAGACUAUGAAGGAGAAGUUGUAAGGUCAGAAGACGUAGAGUUUAAACAAAAUUAUCCAGAGGAGAUUGAAGCACCGAGUCAGGUAUGGAAAAUGAAGUUAACUAUACAAGAAGAGGAGGCGCUGCCGGAAGUACCGACUACGCCACUCAACGAACCUCAGGACGAUUAAGAAAUUGGAGAGUCCCGUUCGGAGGACUUAAAAACACCGAACACCUUACCAAGAGGUAAACUUGGUAGUUACCCUUUCCUUCUCAAUUAUUUCAAAUAGGUUAUUUAGUUAAACAUGUUCAUGCUAUCCUAAAAAGAAAAUAAAAAUAUGAAAAACAGUAAGCCCCAUGUGAGUAUACGAGUGGCAUAAAACCCAUACGUACAUUCACUGUGGUGGCAUAAAAAUAAAAUAAAUAUUUUUCUGCUUUAUAAAAUAAAAAAUAUAAAAACAGGGAGUAAUAAUUAUUAAGGAGUCUCAAGAUGAUGAAGGCUAUAUAUUUAAGCUAACACUUAAUUAGUUCCACAAGCUUUGUUGUCUAUUUGAGCUCCACAGAAUUCAAGAAGACUAGCAGACGGAGGACAUUCUAAUCGCUGUCAGAAUGCUGCUGACUUUCAACUACACCUCUGCCACCUGCUAGCUACAUCAAGAGAAAUUACGUCAAAAUUCAGCUUGGGGGAGAGCACCCCCAUUUAUUCCGAUAAGUAUUUUUAUCUAUUUUUAUACUUAUAUUAUUUUAGAAUAUUAAAAUACAUAACUAUGGGAAAACCAAAUAAAGAUUUUAUGCUUAUAUAUAUGUCUUUUGCUUAGUGUGUUUAAUAAAUAAAUAAAGUGGCUAUGCUAAUCUGUAUCUAAAUAAAACUUAAGCAUGGAUAUGAUGAAAAGUUGCUCUGCCUAAUUUGCACAUUUUAAGUUCUCUCUCAAGUUUAGACAUAACAGUUAUAAUUUAAGGCUUGCUCUAGACCUAAACUUGUGGGAUGAAAACUUGAUCUGAAGUCUAAGUUGUUAACGGAUACGAUAUGGGAAGGUUGAGCUGCUAUUUAUCUGUUCCUAGAGAUGCUAGAAUUCUGGAGAAUUUUAUCUUUGAAAAUCUUUAAAAUAUUGCAUGAUGAGUUCCUGUAUGAUGAGAGCUUAAAAUUCCUACCACAGCCAUAUAUACAUGCUUGCUAGACUUUGAGCCACACAUUUAUUAUUUACUGCUUAUGAGCAUUGAGUGUGGUCAAGCUGUGUAGACCCUUAAGAGCUUGUCAUGUGGUUAAAUCAAGAUUUCACUUACACGUUCACUCAUUUAUGCUACUUCUACUCCGGAAGUACCAUCCACAUAUAUCCACCCAUUCCAUCUCCAGAACCACCUAAAAAUAUUCUACUCCUAAUCCGGGAGAGAAUAACCAAAAAUAUUUUCUGUUUUCCCUUGUGAAAUAAAUGCUCAAGUUAUCUUGUUACUACCACUUGCUAUAUUAUCUCAAGAGAUGAGUGCUCUAAAAAAAAAGAGAAAAUAAUACGAGGAAAUAAAAAGGAGCAAGUGCUCGGAACCUCGAAAGAAAAGAAAAAGUGAGACGAGAGGUAAAAAUGGACAAGUGUCCGACAGUAGAAUUAGGGGUGCAAGAUACCCACCUGAGAGAAAAGAAAAAGAAGAGCAUCUCAUUCUCCUCAUAAAGUUUCAAAAGCAAGGAAGGUAUGUAUCCCCUCAAAAGAGCAAAGUAGAAUUAGACUUCCACCACCAUUGUUUUCACCAUUGUUAUCACCAUCAUCACCAUAUACCAUUCAUUCGCCACACAUGCACAGCUUGAUUAAACUCAUUGACUUGUUACUUUGGAUCCAUGGUUUGACUAUGCAAUAAAUGUCUUGUAAGUAUGUAUAUUUUAUCUCCCACCUAUGAGCUCCAGAUAUUAAAGCCUUAUUAGAGUAGGAUGAGAGAGAAGGCAAUGUCACUAUGCCUCAUACCACAAAUACCACAUAUCUUGAGAGAAGGCAUAUACCAUCAAUGCCUUGGUAAGGAUCCAAAAAUACCACAAAAGAGAGACCUGAGAGAAUCAUACAAGGAAUCUCUGAGUUUUAUUUGAAAAUCUGCAAAAAACCCCAGAGCUAUAGCUGAUCAAGAAUAAGAGACAUGGCACUUGGCUAGACUGUUCUAUCUUUUAACCACUCAAGACAGAAGUGACAGUUACAAGUCCCAUGGUGAAGGUAAAGUAAGUAAGUUUUAAGUCUUGACAGUUGACUCUAACUCAGAGAUGAGAUCUUAUUUAAAAAGCAUGUGUACCGUCAAAUUUUUAAAAUAUUGCAGCAACUUCUGAUCCAUAGCUGAGUCUAUCCUUGCUCAGGGACGAGCAAGAGGUAAGCUUGGGGGAGUUUGUUGACGGUCCUUAAGUAUCAAAUUUAAUUAUCAAAUAAAUAAAGAAAAGGAUCCAAAUGAAAUCAAGAUCUAGACUUAGGGUUUUAUCUGACAGAAUUCCACGAGUUUUGGUGUUUGUCUAUUUCUGCAGGGGGUUAUCAGGAAAUAUGGAAGAAAGACCCACAUGUCAGGAUUACGUAAAGAUAUUAACGUGCUGCGCAAUUAUCUUACAUCUAGAAGACUCCAGAAGCCACGAGACCGAAGCGGAGGCGAAACGGGGCCAGAGACAGGGCGCCCGCCCUGUCCUACUGGGCGCCCGCCCCCUGUCCAAGUCCAAUCAGGACUCUGCUUUGCGGGAAGUCUCCACCGACCUAAAGGAUGAAUCUAAACCAUACAAUCUAUGUCGGUUUGAUCCAAGGGCCCAUAUUCACUUGAAGGGACUAUAAAACCAGACCCCCUGGCCCCUGGAGGAGGGAGCCUCUCAACCCUAAUUCAUUGUUCCAUCAAGGGAGAAGAAGCCUCUGAUCAAGAUUAGAGCCACCACAUCAAUUAGAUAUCUAGAUUAGCAUAGCUACAUAGGAUUAGAACUAGAAGGAGUCAAUCUUUGAUUGGUUUCCGGAUCUGUCAAGAGGAUUCUUGGUAAUUCUCUAAUUGUGUUUCUAAUUACUUUCUAAUUAUCUUUGUUCUUCAAUAUUAUGAAUAUGACUUUGUUCUACUUCAAUAUAUUGCUUAUGACUUUGCUCUAUUUGCUCAUAUUCAAGAUUAUAUUGUUCUUAGUUUAUCAUAGUUAUGUACUUGGCUUAGUUAGAUACGAUCUAUAUACAUGCUUAGGAUCGUAUAGCGUUUAUCCAUCGGAUCCAUGGGUAAAUGAUAGAUAUUGUGUAGGCGUGGUGCUUAUACCGUAUUUAUCUGCGAUUGUACCCAAUAUGCCAGAUCGUGGGGUAGUUCGUGAUAGUGACAGCUUCAUUGAUUCUUAUAUAGUCCCCCUCUCGUGUAUUGGGCUGGCAGAGCAACAUUAUUACAGGGGAGUGAUUGCUAUGUUUCUCAUAUUCCUUGCUAAUAUCACUAUGCAUGGGCGUAGUCUUGUCUCACAAUGAUUGCUAAGUAUGCUUGCACUAACUAUGAUAUGCUAGACUAUAUAGUUAAGAAUAACUUAGGGAGUAUUCUUGUAGUUCGUUCUAAUACCAUGCUAAUGAUUUUCUAGAGUAUCUAAUUGAGGUGCUUAUCAUAUUUAUUAUGUGGCUAGAUCAGAUUAGUUAUCCUUGUCACUAUUAUUAUUUCAUAUAUCUUUUAUGUGACAUUUAUCCCUGUAUGAUGAGUUAGAUAUAAUGUUCUCAAUUAUACAUGCAAUGAUAGAUGCUCAAUCUCAUAUUCUAUUCUGUAAUCAAUAGUGAUGAUUGCUAAUCCCUUCCCAGUGGUAAAAAUAUAAAUAACGAUACCUGGAAUACUUCCCGGUUAAAAUGCUACAUCGGUAUUAAUCUGUGCGCUUGCAGAUCCCAUUCAUUAUUUAUUUAGAAGAGCAAUUGCAUAUUUCAAUACCGCGUCUCUCAUAUCAUGCUGGGGAUGACAACUUGGCUUAAGUGGUGUGAGGGAUAGGUUUGGCAUUUUUGGCACCGUUGCUAGAUUUAGAACUUAGUCUACUUUUAGUAAUGAUGUUAAGAAUACCCAACAAUGUGUGCCCAUAGGUCUAUGAAAUUCAUAGAUAGACAUGUUUGAAUUCAUGAUAGACCAGAGAUCAAGGAUUAGAUAAAAAGAAAGAUUAGCAGAGAUGAGGCAAAGGAUAAAAGGAAAAUAUUUUUUUUAUUAUAUUUUUUUUAGAAAAUGAUUAAGCAAGUUCGUAGUCAACUCAGCAACCGUUUCCCCGGCAACGGCGCCAAAAAUGCUUGUUGACACUUGCUAACACCACUUGAAUACUAGGUUGUCAUCCCCAGCAUGGCACUAGAGUGUACUAUGGUAUUUAUACGCACACAGAUAAUCCGCAAGCGCACGGAUACCGUUGAAGCUUUUACCCGGUUAAAGGUUUUAUCGUAUCCACAGGGAAACGGGAGAACCAACUACGCUCUAACUUAACCAAGAUAGAUAGAUAGGUGUAAAUAGGAAAGAUGAUAGAAUCGAAUAAGAACAAUAUUAAAGGUAAGAUAACAGUGAGUGAUAAUAUGGGAAUAGAGAAUAGAGCAAUUCUAGUAUAUGGGCGAUGGUAGCAGAAUAGAGAGGAUAACUAUGGUUUCUCUACUUUAAAGGGGUAUGUCUAUGUCUGGGACGAACCACGUGAUAAGAGUACACCACAAAGGAUGCUUAUCCAUAGGCCGAUAAACCCUACCCGUCCUGCUAACGAGAGGUGGACUACAGGGGACCAACGUAACUGUCACCUACGCGGCCUACCACACGAUCCAGCUAGUCAGGGGAUAUCCACAAGUAAUCUAGGUCUAAGCACCACGCUUACACCUAUACUACAACUCUAGCCUAUAGGGUCCUAUAGAUUAGAAGUACUCAAAAGAGUUGUGAACCAGAACAUACAUGAUUAGUAAUUGCAUAAUGAAUUAGAAGUAGAUUACCAGAGUCAUCCCAUGAGCAAGCUUGAUUAGAGCUUGAUCAUGGCGAAGUACAACCGGAGGAAGAACCGACAGGCCGGCCUCUCCUCUAAUUCUCCUUCGCUCUCCAUCUCGCUACUAUCUAGAUCUACUCUAGUUUAGAGAAGAGAGGAGAGCUCUCAUCUCUAAACCCUAGCUUUUGCUCUGUCUAUGAAUAAUGAAUAAUGAUCAAGGGAGUGCCUCCUCUAGGGGCCAGGGGGUCUGGUUUUAUAGUCCCCUCAAGUGAACCUGGGCCGUCGGAUCAAACCAACAUUGAUUGAACGGUUAUUCUUGAUCCUUUAGGUCGGUGGAGCAUAAUCCGCGAGAUUGAGCGUGAUUGGCCGAAAAAGGUGGGCGGGCACCCUAAGGACUUGGGCGGGCGCCCUGUCCCUGACUCCGUUCGGUCUCCGCUUCCUUCCCUUGGCUUCUGGAGUCUUCUAGAUGUGAGAUAAUUGCGCGGCACGUUGAUAUCUCUAUGUAAUCCCGACGUGUGGGCCUUUCUUCCUUAUUUCUUGAUAACCCCCUGCAGAAAUAGAUAAACACCAAAACUCGUGGAAUUCUGUCAGAUAAAACCCUAAGUCUCGAUGUUGAUUUCAUUUGGAUCCUUUUCUUUGUUUAUUUGAUAGUUAAAUUUGAUACUUAAGGACCGUCAACAGCCGGUACGCUCCUAGUCGAGCCGCUCCUUUUCUUCUCGGAGGCGCCCAAUCUCCUCCUCCAGCUUUACAAAAAUAAUUGCUGGUCAUCAAAACCGACCACGCAGUUAACUACAACUACUCGGAACAUAUGACUUACCUUUCUUCUCCCGAUCCUUGUCAGCUAGUCGCCGAUUCAGAUUGAGCAGGCGCUCUUCCUAAGCUGCCUUCUCGGCCGCCUUCUCCUCAGCCUCCGACUGAAGGCGGUCCACCUCCGCGGUCAGGGUCUUGUUCUCGGCGACUAUGCCCUCAAUUUGGUUGAAGCACCUUUUUCGAUACUUCUCCGUCUUCAUUGCGCCCUGCAAGAAUUAUACGUAUCGUGAAGUAAACAAACAACAAUAUAUGCACAUUCUGGCAGAAUACAAGGCCACUUACCUUGACCUCAUCGACGAGCCGCUUGGCAGCGCGCUCCACCCUUGCCGCUUCCUCGGUCUCGGCGAGCUCUUCGUGACCAAUAAAGUGAUCCCCACGUUGCCGCCACACAUAAACGUGUUGGUGACUAUCAUGGGGGUGCCCCUGGAUCUCCUCCACUUUGUCGUCGGAGGCCGCCUGGGCCUCCUCGCCCUCUGCGCUCCCCCCAGCCGUGGUAAUGGGUAUCAAAGGACCCUUACCCCAACUAGGGGAGCCCUUCGGUGAAGAAGCCUCUGCCGGGGCUGGAGUUGGGGCUCUCCCUUCCUCAGCUGGAGGGGGAGUCGGGACUUUGUCUCCCUCCUCUGCGACGCUGCUCAGGGGAGGCGUCCUCGCGCCCUCUGAUGUGAACCCGCUAGGGUUUUUGGCCUGAUCUUUCGAUGAGAGGCGCUGGAUAACUCGAUUAGUGGAUGGAGAUGACGUUCACGGCCCGACUACAGCCCUCAAGACCGCGCCUUAGCAACCGAUACACCACGUCCAAUAGCCGUCACGAUCUUGUGGAGCGCGACAACCAGCCCCUAGGGCUCCCGUCCUGCAAGCAAUCGAAGAACUAGCAAGAACGAGGAAACGAGCACUGAAUUUGCAAGAUGAAUUGAAGGUUUCAAACUGAAUCUUAAUCAACAAUGGGGUUCCAAAGACAAGGAGACGGGUGGCUGAUCCUGCACGCGCGCCUACAAGCAAGUAGCGAAGGCUAAACUUGAUCUAAACAAAACCCAGUUGUUCAUGGCGGCUCUAGAUGUAAAUAAAUAGAGGGGAGGACGACCAAAGGGGUGCUAGAGUCGUCCUCCAACCCUAGGACGCGUCCCUAAUGGACUCAACUUGAUACAUGGGCCAUUGGUCCAAAAUAGGGUGACGCAGCACCAAAACAGAAAAAGGUGUCGGCACGAAAACAAGGACUGCGCCUGACUCAUAAGCUGCAUAGAUAUGUGGUUGGAUCCAUUGGAAAGUAGACUUCAUGAUUUUUCCAACAAGUAUAGGAACGUCCUAGUUGGAGUCCAUAUGACGCCGUGGUGAUCCAUACAAGUUAGAGUUAUUUUCCAGUCCGAAUCCAACUCCCAAAACGUGUUGGGUUUGGACUCUUUGUUUCCUUGCUUUAGAAGCGACGUGGUAACUUGAUAGAGGAUGUUGUGGAGGCUUGGACCUGAUCUCCAAUCACCUUUGUUAAGUUAUCACUCUUCCCAUAUGCAAUCAGCCCUUGAAGUUGGUGUUGCCUCAAAUUCUGAAUGCAGUUGAACCUUCCCUUGCUGAUCUUGUCCAUUGUUCUUGAGCAACACGAAAGUGCACGUGUCUCCAUUGUCUAAAUAUGAUUGACAAGAGUUUAAAACUGAACUUACUUGAAGGUUGAGUUGACGGGCACGAGCACGAGUAAGAGGACCAGCUAUAGGUUGUGUCGGAGAGGAUGUAGGACCAGCUAUAGGUUGUGUCAGAGAUGUAGGACCAGCUAUAGGUUGUGUCGGAGAGGAUGUAGGAGAGGAUGUAUCGCUGGUGUUGAUGUCCUCAUCAUCCUCCCUUUCUUGCAUUUGAGUCGUCCUCGACUCAAGCUCAUCUUCCUCACCCAAAUAAGGCUUCAAAUCUACAAUGUUAAAUGUGGGACUAACCCCAAAAUCUUUGUCUAGUAGUUCUUGCACUUGUCGCUGAAUUUCCUUUGUUUCCUUCGGGUUUGUCCUGUAUGGUGCACGAUUUGGCAAAACUGCUCCAGGAAUAAGAUCAAUUUGGUGCUCAAUCCCGCGUAGUGGAGGCAGCCCCGCUGGUACCUCACUUGGAAACACAUCAGAAUACUCCUGCAAAACGUUAGCAACAGCAGGGGGCAAAGAACAUUGCAUAUCCUCAAUUGAAAUCAAAGCAUCCUUGCAUAUCAAAGCAUAAGCAACAGAAGUGGAUGCAUUGAACUCAUUAAUAUCUGAUUUGGUAGCUAUCAUACAACGUCCUUUCAGUUUUAUCUCAUCUUUGUUACCAAUUACAGAUUUAUCAUUUUUAUUGCUCUUGCUCUUUGCUUUACUAGCCCUAGCAACAUCAGUUUGCAUAAUAGUUUCAGGGGACAUAGGAUGCAACACAAUUUUGCGAUCAUGGUAUAGAAAAGAAUACUGAUUUGAUCUACCAUGAUGCAUAGAAUCUCUAUCAAAUUGCCAAGGUCUACCUAGCAGAAUGUUACAAGCUUGCAUAGGCACAACAUCACAUUCAAUAAUAUCUUUGUAGGAUCCGAUGGAAAAAUUAAUUCUCACAAGUCUAGUUACCUUUGCCUUACCACUGCUGUUCAGCCAUUGGAUGUAGUAGGGAUGCGGGUGUGGUUUGGUGUUGAGGGCAAGCUUCUGCACCAUAUCGCUGCUUGCCAAGUUGUUGCAGCUACCUCCAUCAAUGAUCAUGCGACAAGAACGCUCUUUGAUGACACACUUUGUUUGGAAUAAAAUGUGUCGCUGAUUUUGCUCCGCCAUCUCCAUUUGUGCACUAAGCACUCGCUGCACGAUCAAGCUCUCAUAGUGGUCCGCUUCACCUGCAUUAAUAUGUUCUUCUAUUUGAUCUUCAUUACCUGCAUGGUCAGUCGCAAGCAGUGCAAGUGUAUCCUCAUCAAAAUCACUAGCAGAUGAGUACUCACCAUCAUCCCUGACAAUCAUAACUCGCUUGUUUGGGCAGUCACGCAUCAUGUGCCCAUAUCCCUUGCACCGAUGACAUUGUAUGUUGCUUGUUCUACCCGUCGAUGCCACGGAUGAAGUACUCGCAGCAGGCUUUUGUAUCAUCUUCGCAACUGAAUUGGUGGGGGCAGCUCGAGUCUUGUCACUAGAUGAUGGAGUAGAAAUACGUGUAGAUGGAGUUGAAGCCAUGUGUUGCUGCCAUGAAUUAGCCUUCCCUGCAGAAAUAUUACUCCUUGCGCUAGCACGUCGUCCCUGCACUUCCCUUUCAGCUUUACAAGCAAGAUGAAACAAACGGGUUACAUUAUUGUAUUUUUUGUAAGCGAGGUUGUCCUGAAUUUCCCGAUUUAACCCACCCAAAAAUCUAGCCAUAGCCGGUUCCUCAUCCUCCUCUAGGUUACAACGCAACAUACCCGUUUGUAAUUCCUGAUAAUAUUCUUCUACACUUUUAGCACCUUGUCUUAACUGCUGCAACUUAUUUAUCAUAUCACGCGCAUAGUAAGAUGGAACAAAUCUAGCUCUCAUGGCCCUUUUCAGCGCAUCCCAAGUUCUAGGUAAGUUAUUAGGAUUUUUCUUUCCAUAUUCUAUCCACCAAACAGAAGCAAAAUCUGUAAACUCACUAGUAGCAGCCCUAACACGUGUAGUCUCAGGAAAUUCAUGACAUGCAAACUUUUGAUCAACAGCAAUCUCCCAAGUGAUGUAAGCAUCAGGGUCAUAUUUACCAUCAAAAGGGGGUAUCUUAAAUUUAAUCUUACUGAAAGCAUCAUUAUUAUUGUGUACCUCGCGUCGGCGGUUGCCACCCAUACCUCUACGGUUGUGACGAAGGCGACGUCGAUCACGAGUGUCUUGAUCAUCAUGUUCAGUAUCACCAGUGUAGUCAUCUUCAUGACUACCGUGCUCUCGAUCUCCCUCCUUUUCUUCUUUAUGCUUCUCUUUAUCUUCGGUGUGGAAAUCAUCAAAUCGCCUUAGGAGAGCAGCAAGGCUUUUGUCCACACUAGCAACGGAUUCCUCCAAACUUGUGAGCUUGUUGUUUGUGGCAAUCUGCGUAGCCUCCAACUGCCCCAGCUUUUCAUUUGUCACCUGCAAGUCGUUAUCAAAUCCCUCUGUGUGCAGCUUCACUUUCCUUUCAAAAUGUUGUAUGAUGCCCUUAGUGCGAGGUGUAUGUGGUGUUUCGUUACCAUCAUCUGCCCCUGGCAUGGUUCAAAGACAAAGACAACAAAAAGGCAAGUGAAGAAAUAAAAGCCCUACAACUACUAGGAUGUAGCUACAGCAAGUCGCUCACACUCAACCUGUAACACAAGUUCUUACCAAUUCUUACCUUGCUUGACAGGAGGGGUCGUUUGCCAACAAGUGUACAGCAAUGGACGAAGUGUAUCGGUGCUGCAGCACAAGACCUGUCAAGCUGUAGAGUAUGUGGAGCUAUAGGUGGGCUGAAACAAGGAACGAACUAGCACCACGUUAGUUAUAAAAGCGAGCUGAAUAAGCGUUCGAUGAUGGUAUUGUGCUGGUCCUAGGCUAGACCGUGCUAGAGACGCGAGCCUGGACACAAAGGAAAACCACAGCACACCCCCGAAAACAAGGUGGAAGAAACCUAAAAUCAAUAUGAAAAACAACCCCUUUUUUUUCUUUUGAAUCUUUUCUCUUUUCUUUUUUUUUUCUUUUUUUUGGGCAACCUCAAAAACUGAUUAUAUGAACAAAGGAAUACAAAAGAGCAAUUCGCUACACACACACACACUCUCUCUCUCUCUCUAGAGUAAGGCAGAACAAGUAUGGAGUUAUCUUUCUUUUUGGAUCACAGUUCAAUUCGGACUUCACAACAGAUUCGACAGAGAGAAGAUAUGGUAAUACUCGGCUGUGUAUAGAUGGUGACAAGAACUCGAAACUCUAAAGGACUAGACACUAAGACCAGCAACUCGACACAAACCGAAGCAACGCAAAUUCAACAAGCCCUAACUAAAACGGUACUAUCCAAGGCACAAAGGUUUAAUAGGAUUAUGGAAAAACUAAUCUACUAUAUUUUUUUUUGGCUUUUCUGGACUAUAGGAAAUUAAUUAAAAACAGCAAAGGAUUAGAAGUCUCUCACCGAAGAACCUUGCUCUGAUUACCAACUCAUGCGAACCCGCUAUGGUUUUUGGCCUGAUCUUUCGAUGAGAGGCGCUGGAUAACUCGAGUAGUGGAUGGAGAUGACGUUCACGGCCCGACUAUAGCCCUCAAGACCGCACCUUAGCAACCGAUACACCACGUUCAAUAGCCGUCACGAUCUUGUGGAGCGCGACAACCAGCCCCUAGGGCUCCCGUCCUGCAAGCAAUCGAAGAACUAGCAAGAACGAGUAAACAAGCACUGAAUUUGCAAGAUGAAUUGAAGGUUUCAAACUGAAUCUUAAUCAACAAUGGGGUUCCAAAGACAAGGAGACGGGCGGCUGAUCCUGCACGCGCGCCUACAAGCAAGUAGCGAAGGCUAAACUUGAUCUAAACAAAACCCAGUUGUUCAUGGCGGCUCUAGAUGUAAAUAAAUAGAGGGGAGGACGACCAAAGGGGUGCUAGAGUCGUCCUCCAACCCUAGGACGCGUCCCUAAUGGACUCAACUUGAUACAUGGGCCAUUGGUCCAAAAUAGGGUGACGCAGCACCAAAACAGAAAAAGGUGUCGGCACGAAAACAAGGACUGCGCCCGACUCAUAAGCUGCAUAGAUAUGUGGUUGGACCCAUUGGAAAGUAGACUUCAUGAGCUUUCCAACAAGUAUAGGAACGUCCCAGUUGGAGUCCAUAUGACGCCGUGGUGAUCCAUACAAGUUAGAGUUAUUUUCCAGUCCGAAUCCAACUCCCAAAACGUGUUGGGUUUGGACUCUUUGUUUCCUUGCUUUAGAAGCGAUGUGGUAACUUGAUAGAGGAUGUUGUGGAGGCUUGGACCUGAUCUCCAAUCACCUUUGUUAAGUUAUCACUCUUCCCAUAUGCAAUCAGCCCUUGAAGUUGGUGUUGCCUCAAAUUCUGAAUGCAGUUGAACCUUCCCUUGCUGAUCUUGUCCAUUAUUCCUGAGCAACACGAAAGUGCACGUGUCUCCAUUGUCUAAAUAUGAUUGACAAGAGUUUAAAACUGAACUUACUUGAAGGUUGAGUUGACGGGCACGAGCACGAGUAAGAGGACCAGCUAUAGGUUGUGUCGGAGAGGAUGUAGGACCAGCUAUAGGUUGUGUCGGAGAUGUAGGACCAGCUAAGGUUGUGUCGGAGAGGAUGUAGGAGAGGAUGUAUCGCUGGUGUUGAUGUCCUCAUCACCCUCAUCGUCCCUUGUCGGGGUACUCGCCUCGGUCUUCGCUUAAGCCGGGUGUUCCUUGACAGUCUCUGCCACAGUCGCAACCGCGGGUUGUUCCUCGGGUUGCACCCGGGUCGUCUGCUCGGCGGCGUUUUCAACGACAACCGCUGGCUCAGCUGUUCUCUAGCCGGUGACGUUGCCCGGAUCAACAUCUGAUGCCGCACUAGCAAAAGAAGACAUCAUGCCGACAUCAAAAUUCACAUAAAAAACAAAAAGAAAUAAGAAGGAUGAACUGCAGGAGACAGGUUUUAGAACUCACAGGUCGGAGCUCCUGUGUGUCGCAGUGAAGAACCUCCUCCUGUUCCUCCCAGCCGUCACCGCUGCUUCUGGCCCUCCAGGUCGUGUCGGCUCGGUGUGCGGGGCAGGAGGAUCACUGGUCACCCGACCAGCGUCGAUCGGCACAACGUUAGGCCGACUGCGCAGUCUUCGGACCAAAGACGGAGCAGCCUCACCCUCUUCGUCCUCGUCGUCAGUGAUCCUCACAAGUCGACGACGUUUUGGGGCCUGGCUGGUCUCCGUCGGCAAUACUUCCAUUCGGGAUGGCUCCACAGCCAUCGGCCUCUUCCCCGCCACCCUGUCUUCAGUAGUCGGCGCGGGACGGUUCUGGUCUUCUUCACUGCUGGUGUAUUGGGGACACCGAGCAGUAUCGCCCUCCGAUGGGUCCAUCCCUGCGGGAUGGUCCAUACCAGGUGCCAGUGAUACGUACACUGAGCACCGGUCAAUAUCUCCUAUCUGCAACAGAACAAACGACAAGUCAUCAACCAAGAGACUACAAUAUUCACAUAGCAAUACAAAUCGAUAAAGGUACUCGUUUACCUUAGGAGCUGGUCGUCCCAACUUGAAGGCGUGCAUCCGGUCAUCACUUUGAACGAAAUUAUCAUCAGACAAGUUGAAUAACUCAUUCAUCAGCUGCUGGACCUCCGUCUUCUCCAGACCAUCCGGGCACAUCCUGGUAGGGUCUUGGCUCCUCGCGUACUCAUACGCCGAGUGCACCCUCCUCUGGCAAGGCAUCACUCGACGCACCAGGAAGUUCCCGACCACUCCUGGCCCGUCUAAGCGGGACCAGUCAAUCAGGCUCAUCAGCUCUGCCACUUGACCGGUGUACUCUAGACGGUCUGUCCAGUUGACCCUCUUCUCGGGGAUGUAGCCCACGUCGCAGAACGUGGCGUUGCCCGGCUCUUCCCUGACGUAGAACCACUUCUUGUACCAUUCGGUGAAGGAAGUGUUCCAUGGGCAGCUGAGGUACCGGUUCUUCAUCCCGUCGCGUAGAUUGAGGUAUACUCCACCUGCAAUCUUGGAGCCUCGAACUGCUCCUUUCUUCCGCAAACAGAACAGACAGAGGAAGAGAUCGAAGUGCGGCUCUAUUCCAACAUAGGCGUCGCACAAGUGAAUGACGGUAGAGAUGAGGAGAAUAGAGUUCGGGUGCAGAUUUCAAAUCCCGAUCUCAUAGUAGAGAAGAAGACCCUGGAGGAAAGGAUGGACAGGAACCCUAAAGCCCCUUUUGAAGAAAUCCUCAAAAACAACAAUCUCACCGGCAUGGGGGUUGGGGUAGCUCUCCCCUUCUGGUGCCCUCCAACCGCCGAGCUCUUGGUUGUGUAGCAGUCCCAUUCCGACGAGGUUGUUGAGGGACCUCGUGCUGCUCCGGGACUUUUUCCACUCCUUGGCCGUCAACUCGGCCCUUUUCUUCGAGUCGCUCUUCGCCAUUGACGCCGCAGGGAGAACUUCGAACUAGAUGUUAAAGAUGGCAGUGGAAGGAGGCAGCAAUGGCAAGGUUAGGAGGUUUGUAAGCAAAAGCUGGGUAAACAGUAUGGAGCUGCGAGUUGACGGUCCUUAAGUACUAAAUUUAACCAUCAACUAAACAUGGAAAAGGAUCAAUAUGCACCAAACAUCUAGAAUUAGGAUUUUAUCUGACAAGAAUUCCAUGAGCUUUGGUGUUUGUCUAUUUCUGCAGGGAGUUAUCAGAAAAUAUGGAGAGAAGGCCCACAUGUCAUGUUUACAACGAGAUAAUUACGUGCCGCGUAAUUUUCCUUAAUCUAGAAGAGUCCAGAAGCCGCGGGAACGAACCGGAGACCGGACGGGCUCGGGGGCAGGGCGCCCGCCCUCCCCCCUUGGGCGCCCACCCUAGCCUCGGGGACAAUCACAAUCAACUUUGCAGAUUAUGCUCCACCGACCUAAAGGAUCAAGGAAAACCGUGCGAUCAAUGUCGGUUUGAUCCGACGACCCAAAUUCACUUGAAAGGACUAUAUAAUCAAGGCCUCUCCACCCUAGGGGGAGAGAGGAGAAAUCAUUAUCAAAGGUAGCCAUCAAAGUUAGGGUUUUAGAACUUCUCUCCCACAGAGAAUUAGAAUUAGCUACUCCCUAAUCCUUCAAGUUUAGAGGAUUGAUUAGAUAGAAUUAGAGAAGUAGAGCACAACGCUGUGGAUUCGGAUCUUCGUUAAUAAAGAUUGGUAUUAUUUCAUAUCUUUCUCUAUUAAUUUAUUCUAAUUGCAUUAUGUCUCUAUGUAUUAUGUUCUUAGUUUGCUCUAGUUCUAUAUUUGAUAUAGUUAUGAUUGAUAAUGAGUUUAUGUAUAAGUUUGCAAAGCGCUUAGCUCUUAACACGUGGGAGUUAAGUGGUAGAUCACAUGUAGGCGUGGUGCUUAGAUGUUAUUUACCUGCAAAUGUAUCCUAUUGGCCGGGUCGUGUGGUAGUUCGCGAUAGUGACAGCUUCGUUGAUUCUUAUAUAGUCCACCCUCCGUUGAUAGGACAGGCAGAAUUUGUAUUGCGGAGUAAGUCUUGCGAUGCUCUGAUUUACUUUAGCAAUGUUUUUUAUACAUGAAUGAAGAGUCUUUUAUGCUAUAUAUGAUCUUGUAGAUAACUAGAGUAGAUUGUGACUUAGUAGAUAGUAGAUAACUUAGAAUCCAUUCUCUAGCUAAUCCGACGUCACCUUACAUAUAUGAGGAGUAGUCUAUUUUCUAAUCGCUGUGUUAUUUACCCAUGAGCUUAUAAUUCAUUAUCAUUAUUAUUAUGGCUUACCCCCUGCCGAAGUAAGUGACUGUGUGACGAGUUCCUCAUUAGUAAUCAUGUUCUUGCAAGUUUAUCUCUAGUCUAUGCCUUGAUAGAUUUUAUCCUUAUCUUUAUCUCCAUUGUUCUCUUAGGCAAAAUUAUAAAUAACGAUAGCUGGAAUACUUACCUGGUGAAAUGCUACAAUGAGGUGUUUUAUCUGUACGCUUGCGGAUAGAAUAGAUUAUUUUCUAGAGAGCCUCCAUAUUUAUAAAUACCUUUGUACACUCUGGCACCAUGCUGGGGAUGACAACCUAGUAUCCAAGUGGUGUUAGUAAGUGUCAACAAGCAUUUCUGGCGCCGUUGCCGGAGAACAAAAGGGAAACACAUAGAAAGAAGAAGACGGUAAGGAAAGUCAGGAAGUCAAACAAGGUUAUUCACAUAAAAUAUUAGACUAGACUAUAGAGAAAUAAUUGCAUAAAACAACUACUAAGUGAGAAAUCAUAACAAGGCACCUCUGCUUUGGUAGGUUCACCCUGUUGUUUUUCUAUGUUUAUAUUUUUAUACAAGUUAUAUCAGGAUUGACUUUGGUACAUUCAACUCUUCAUCAUUAGAACCAAAGCAAUCAAGAAAGAAAGAAGAAGCUAGCUACCAACUGCUGAAGCUAUGGCACAGAAGACCCUAUGAGAAAUCUCUGCUCCAAGCCUCGAGAACAUUCCAACUGGUCCAAGAUUUGCAGUAGAAGAAGGAGCACCCGAGUUUGAGCUCAAGUCAAGCCUCAUCAAUUUUGUACAAGCUACACAAUUCAGUGGAAAGGCACAUGAAGAUGCCAGUGCACACUUGCAUAAUUUCUUAGAGAUUGGAAGCACAAUCCACAUCAACGAAGUCGACAAAGACGUCAUACUGCUUCGCCUUUUUCCAUUCUCACUAGAAGGGAAAGCAAGAAAGUGGUUCUACAUUCAUCAAGAUAACAUCAACAACUGGACGAACUUGUCAGAUGCCUUUCUAUCAAAGUUUUUCCCAAUUGGCAAGACAACUGCCUUAAGAGGAAAUAUUAUCAGUUUCCAACAGCAGAAGACAGAAACCAUUCCAGAAGCAUGGAAGCGUUUUCAAGGAUACAUAUCAGAUUGUCCUCAUCAUGGAAUGGCCACAUGGUUACUUAUGCAGACCUUCUACCAUGGAUUAACCCAGAAGGCUCGUGAGUGCCUAGAUGCAUGUGCUAAGGGAUCAUUCUUGGAGCUUACAAUUGGAAAAGCAGAGAUACUUUUGGAUAAUAUAGCAGAAAACCAAAGCUGGUUCCAAGAUAAAGCUCAACAAUGUCAUCAAACUGAAGAAAUACCAAAAGAAGUAAAUGCAUUAUCAACCAAGAUGGAAAAUUUGCUCCAUUGGAUUGACCAGAGGGCCAAGUUCAAAGAAGAUCAAAGGGCCAUUGAGACAACAUACAAAUAUCAACCUAUCUCAAGUCAACCCAAUAGCAAAGGUAAGAAUUCAGGUAAUACUUUCAAGCAACUUUCAUUAAAAGAGAUAAUUGCUCAACAAACCAAAACUAAUGAUGAAGUUAAACAAAGGCUAGAAACAAAUGAAUCAUCUCUAAAAGACAUACACAAUAAAAUGGAUUUUCUAUUAACUGCCUUUGAUGAGCAAAACACUCUUAAUAAAAGGGUAGAGCUUAAAUUAAUAAAGCUUGCUGCUGCGUUGCCUGUUGCCACUAACAUUGAGCAGGUAAAGAACAUAACUACUAGAAGAAGCAAAGCCACCAGGGAUCCCCCAUACCCAAAAGAGAAACAAAGAACAUCAGAACCAGUGCAACCAACAGCGAUAGAAGAAGAAAGCCCAGUUGAAGUAGAAGAUCUACUACAACCACCAAGAACUGGAGAAAUGAGGAAAGAUUUUUACGACACCAACUAUUUGCCAUUUCCCAGAAGAAACAGAGGACUGUAGUCGGAUGAGCAGUUUGGUAAGUUCGUAGAGGUCAUUCAGAAAUUAUAUGUCAACAUUCCUCUGCUUGAUGCCAUACAGGUACCUACAUAUACAAAGUACAUCAGAGAUUUUCUUAACAAAAAGAGACCACUGCCACCACUGAGGUUAUCAAGCUGACAGAUGAAUGUAGUGUGGCCAUCCUCAACAAACCACCAAGGAAGAAGAAGGAUCCAGGAUGUCCCACCAUUGACUGCUCGAUCAGAAACCAACACUUCAACAAUGCACUUUGUGAUCUCGGAGCAAGUGUCAGUGUGAUGCCAGCAUCAGUCUAUGAGAAGCUUGUGCAUACGACCCUAGAACCAACGUCAAUAUGUCUACAAUUAGCAGAUCAAUCAGUUCGACACCCGUUGGGUAUCGCCGAAAACAUUCCAGUCAGGAUAAGAGAUUUCCUUGUGCCAGUAGACUUUGUGGUACUGGACAUGAGUCCUGACUCAAAAGUACCCAUCAUCCUUGGAAGGCCAUUUCUGAGCACUGCCAAUGCCCACAUUGAUGUCGGGAAGGGAGAAAUCAAGUUCAACAUAAACGGACAAGAAGAACACUUCACAUUCAAGCCCAGACCAGAGAGAGACUCUACAGUGAAGGAAGUUCAUAAAGAAGAACCACUGGAGACACCAUCUCUAGAGGAAGGUAAUUCAGAAGAUUAAAAAGAUUUGGAGGUCCAGCUUGGGGGACCUAAAAAUCCCAAACCCUCGCCGGGAGGUAAAUCGGUAUUUAUCCGCAUCAUUAAUUCUCUCAUAUUUAAUUCUUGCAUUAGUCAUAUUUAUUCAUAGAAUUAUAAUAAUCAAAAGCCCCAUAUAAAUAAUAUUUAUGGUGUGUGACAACCCAUAUUUAUUAAUUAUUGUGGAGGCACAAAAAUAUUUUUCAUUAUCAUUUCAAAUAAGUUUCAAUUCUCAUAGAUUUUUCUGCAUUAUAUUUAAUUAUAGCAACCUUCUAGAAGCAUGACCCACACUCCUUGGGUCCCACAUGUCAUACACCACACCUCACAUACAUCCCAUCAUGUUAUUUGAUCCACCAACAUAUCUCCACUCACCAGCACUUUUCCGCCGACAAACCACCACCCAUGAACUAUUAUUCUGCGUAAGAACCAAGCAAAGGAGGGAGUAGAGAAAAGACAGUCAGGAUGGCCACCAAAGGUGGGCGCCUGCCCACCUACAGGGGGCGCCCGCCCUGUCCCCUUUUCCUCCUAUAAAUUGCCACUUCCUGCCUCCAACCUCUUCACACAAGCAUUCCUAGAAACCACGCAAGUUUUAGUUUCCAGAGAAGGAGCUCUUGUAGUGAAGAGAGAAGGAGAGUAGAGAGGAAGAGAAGAGUGGAAGAUAGGUUGGUAGUCUUUGAGUGAGAGAGUAAGGUUCACCUAGUAAGUAGUGAUCCCGUUGUCCAAAGCGGAAGUAAAAGUUGUUUAGGGGGAGGUGCUGCCAAAAUAAAAACUUGUCUUGAACGACUAACCCCUGGACUACUGACAUUUCGGACAGCUCACCACUAACAUUUUUCUCUCACACAUUUUCCACUAGUUGUGUGUGUGUCAACAAUUGUCUACAGGAUGUUCAAGAAGGUGAAGAACGCAGGGAAGGUCCUCAAGAAAAUAGGUACAAGGAGUUCAUCUCGACACUCCUCGAACCAGUCAGAGAUGAGCGUCGACAUGACACCCCCGCAAGCUCCGUCAUCUUCAUCUGAUCCACAAGUCAAGGUCCUCCUCAAGAUAGGAGGCCUUGGACUAAAGACCCGCAGGGAAAAGGAAGUUUACCAGCAGCUAAAGAAUAAGGAUUUCAUUCACACCCCCACUCUUGAUCCUAUCUUGCUACAAGAAACAGGACAUUAUGUUGUCUUGGAGAGAAUUGAGCGACCAUCUCGGUUUCUCUUCAAGAUGCAUCUUGGACAUUGACUCCGAUUUACCCAAUUUUGAGAGACACCAGUUCUGGAGAGAGAUAUCUAGAGAUGAGUUUUAUAGCCAAGCCCGAACCAGCGACAUGGAACACCUCACUCUUAGGAUGUUCCACAAAUGGCUCAGGUACAAUCUUUUCCAUCGUGAUGAUAUUAGAAAAGUAAGAAUAGGAGAUUUACAAUCUAUAUGCUGCUAUAAAUAAAGUACCCACUUCACCUGUUACACUUUUGGUUUCUCAUUGGCUUAGUAUACCUAGUCUUCUAGGACCUAUCGGUUGUACUUCACUCAUCACUCGUCUAGCCUCUAAUCUUAAUUUGCUAGAAAACACAUCAUUGGAAUUCAUUGAUGAAUUACGAAUUUAUCAUGGCUAUGACACAUUUAGGCAAGCUUGGAUGUUGAAAAAAGAAGGGAACGUAAUGUAUAUGUUAUACGAUAAUAAAGGCAAGAUUCGGUUACCUAACCCGAACCUUGGCCUCUAUGUUGUUCAAAAUUAUUUGAUUGAGAUUGUAGUGACACCGAUAAACCAGAGAGCUCCACAACGAGUGGCAUCUGAAAGGAUGACCACCCAUCGAGAACACACUUGGUAUGGAGCUGAUCCCGGGCCAGAAGAAGCAGCACACCUGCAUUAUUGUGACUACAACCCCCGAGUCCUUCGGGACCCAUGGGUUCGACAUUCUCAACCACAAGAGCCAAAACAGGAGACAUGGCCGGAGAGCCAAGAUCACUAGUGGACAAACCCACCGUUCCAUACGGGCAGGCACUCCACUGAUCCAUAUGGAGCUUCAGGGUCCAGACCUCCGCCCCAAUUCGAUGCAGGACGGUACUCUGACGCCUCUUAUACUUUCACGAAUGACUACUACCAAGAGGCCGGCGCCUUCUGCACCCGUACCGACAACACCCUCCUCGACAUCUAGAAUACGCAAGCGAAACAUGGACGACUCCUGGAACAACAACAAAAGUGGAACCAGGACCACGCCAACUGAGGCAAGACACCACGACAAUGAACGACAAUAUCACCACCAUGAUGCGAUUCUGGAACAUCGGGUAAGACCGACAACCACAUCCAGCUUGGGGGAGUUCCUCCCCGUUUUAUCAGGUAAGUUUUUAUUUGCUUUUCUUAUUUAUUCUUUUCUGUUUUAGUGUUUUAUUUAUCUUAAGGCAAAAAAAACUUAGAAAACUCAAUAAAUAUUUUCUUGCUUUAAUUUACUCCAUUCUAUAAACAUGAAAACAAAAUAAAAAGAGUGUGUAGAUAAGUGUGCUUUAUUUAUCUGCUAAGUGUUAAUCUCUAGAAAAAAUAAAAAGACCAAAAAAAUACAUGAUGGAAAUGAUGAAUAGUUGCUCUGUUUGCUUACUUUCAAGUACCUAGCUUUUAUAUUAGAGUUCUUCCAGGAAUUACUAAAACUAAAAUUACUAUCUGUGGGGAGCAUAAAACUAAAGUCUAAGUAAGAGAAGGACAUGAUAUAAAGUUUGAGCUGCUAUUUAUCUUGUUCCUACUACACUGAGUUCUGGAGAUUUAUUUUGAAAACUUGCAAAUCACAUGAUGAGUUCCUAGCAUGACAAAAUUCCUACCACAACCUUACUUGCUAUAACAUCUUUUGUUACUUAUAUUUACAUUGAGUUUGAUCGAGUUGUGUAGACCCUUAGGAGCUUUUCAUGUGGUUAAAUUAAGAUAUUCACUUGCACACAUCUACUACACCAUCCACCACCAUUCAUUAAAAUUGCUAAAAAUAUUAUCAUUCGCUGUCCCGAGUGUUGUUAUUCUCUCUCUCCAAAAAGAUUCAAUGCAGAAGAGACAUGAGUUAUGCAAAAAUAUGCGAGGAAAUAAAAAGGGGCAAGUGCCCGAAACCUCGAAAAAGAAAGAAAACGAGUGAGACGAGAGGUAAAAAUGGACAAGUAUCCGGAGUAGAAUUAGGGGUACAAUAAUGCCCACCUGAGCGAAAAAAAUGGACAGGUGUCCGGUAGUAGAAUUAGGGGUAUUUUCUACCGACCUGAAAAAAAGAAGAGAUAGCCCAUGUUCUCCCAAAGCAAAGAUCAAAGAAGAGGAGAGAUAGCAAUAUGAGGAGCAAUGAGAAGUAAGUUUUAUCAUCACUUAUACAUUUUUACCAUCACUAUCAUUUACUCCACCACACAUGCACAUCUUAAUUUAAUUAUAUGCUGAGUUCCUUUGGAUCCAUGGCUCGAUUAGACAACAUAUGUAUGAGCUAUUUUCACACCUAUGAGCUCCACUUAAAUAUUCCAUUAGCUAUAGGUAGGUGACAUCUUUGUAAGGAUCCACAAAUACCACAUAUAAAGAGACUAGAGAGAAUCAUAGCUGGGAACUCAGAGCAUUAUUUUUGAAAACUUAUGAAAAACCCAGAACAAAGGUGAAGUAUAAACAGGAGGAAUAGUGCUUGACUUAACUAUUUUGUCUUUCGAUUACUUAAGACUUAAGUGCAGGUACUAAGCUCCAUAACACUUCACUCUAAUCACAAAGAAUUUUUAUGUGAAAGCAUGUGUGCCUGUCAGGAAAGAAAACAUCGAAACAACUCCUGACCCAUCUGAGUUUAGCUAUUUGCUCAGGGACGAGCAAAGGGUAAGCUUGGGGGAGUUUGUUGACGGUCCUUAAGUACUAAAUUUAACCAUCAACUAAACAUGGAAAAGGAUCAAUAUGCACCAAACAUCUAGAAUUAGGGUUUUAUCUGACAAGAAUUCCACGAGCUUUGGUGUUUGUCUAUUUCUACAGGGGGUUAUCAGAAAAUAUGGAGAGAAGGCCCACAUGCCAUGUUUACAACGAGAUAAUUACGUGUCGCAUAAUUUUCCUUAAUCAAGAAGAGUCCAGAAGCCACGGGAACGAAUGGGAGGCCGUAUGGGCUCGGGGGCAGGGCGCCCACCCUCCCCCUUGGGCGCCCACCCUGGCCUCGGGGCCAAUCACAAUCAACUUCGCGGAGUAUGCUCCACCGACCUAAAGGAUCAAGGAAAACCGUGCGAUCAAUGUCGGUUUGAUCCGACGACCCAAAUUCACUUGAAAGGACUAUAUAAUCAAGGCCUCUCCACCCCAGGGGGAGAGAGGAGAAAUCAUUAUCAGAGGUAGCCAUCAAAGUUAGGGUUUUAGAGUUUCUCUCCCACAGAGAAUUAGAAUUAGCUACUCCCUAAUCCUUCAAGUUUAGAGGAUUGAUUAGAUAGAAUUAGAGAAGUAGAGCACAACGCUGUGGAUUCGGAUCUUCGUUAAUAAAGAUUGGUAUUAUUUCAUAUCUUUCUCUACUACUUUAUUCUAAUUGCAUUAUGUCUCUAUUUAUUAUGUUCUUAGUUUGCUCUAGUUCUAUAAUUGAUAUAGUUAUGAUUGAUAAUGAGUUUAUGUAUAAGUUUGCAAAGCGCUUAGCUCUUAACACGUGGGAGUCAAGUGGUAGAUCACAUGUAGGCGUGGUACUUAGAUGUUAUUUACCUGCAAAUGUAUCCUAUUGGCCGGGUCGUGUGGUAGUUCGCGAUAGUGACAACUUCGUUGAUUCUUAUAUAGUCCACCCUCCGUUGAUAGGAUAGGCAGAAUUUGUAUUGCGGAGUAAGUCUUGCGAUGCUCUGAUUUACUUUAGCAAUGUUCCUUAUACAUGAAUGAAGAGUCUUUUAUGCUAUAUAUGAUCUUGUAGAUAACUAGAGUAGAUUGUGACUUAGUAGAUAGUAGAUAACUUAGAAUCCAUUCUCUAGCUAAUCCGACGUCACCUUACAUAUAUGAGGAGUAGUCUAUUUUUUAAUCGCUAUGUUAUUUACCCAUGAGCUUAUAAUUCAUUAUCAUUAUUAUUAUGGCUUACCCCCUGCCGAAGUAAGUGACUGUGUGACGAGUUCCUCAUUAGUAAUCAUGUUCUUGCAAGUUUAUCUCUAGUCUAUGCCUUGAUAGAUUUUAUCCUUAUCUUUAUCUCCAUUGUUCUCUUAGGCAAAAUUACAAAUAACGAUACCUGGAAUACUUACCUGGUGAAAUGCUACAAUGAGGUGUUUUAUCUGUGCGCUUGCGGCUAGAAUAGAUUAUUUUCUAGAGAGCCUCCAUAUUUAUAAAUACCUUUGUACACUCUGGCACCAUGCUGGAGAUGACAACCUAGUAUCCAAGUGGUGUUAGUAAGUGUCAACACUGCGCAUCGAGCUUUUUAUAACAGCGGCUCCACCUCUACCACUUCCCGCGUUAUGGGGAAGUGGGCGGAUCUUGCGGCGGCCGCGGCGUUUCGGUUUUCAAUGAUUAUCACAACUAAUUUGGUGGUUUUUCUGCCGGAGUAAUGGUUUCCUUUCUUGGACCACACAAUGAGCGGCUGCACAGUUACCAGGUGCACCUUUUUAUACAAAAGCCUGAAAAUAUGGCAGGAUGCCCUGUCACAUCUUACAUUAAUAUGGCGAUAGUAUUUUUUCAAAAAAGAUAAGAAGGAUCUUUGGUCAGACAGAUUUGAUAUGCUGGGGACUGCACCGACCACCGAGCAUCAUAUGCUCGGGGACUGGUCGACUAGUUCGCUCAUUGGACAUGCUGGGGACUACACCGACCACUGAGCAUUAUAUGCUCGGGGACUGGUCGACCAGUCUGCUCGUUUGAUAGUUUGAGAGUUUACCGACCACUGAGCAUGAUAUGCUUGGGGACUGGUCGACCAGGCUGCUUUACCAUAGACGAGCAUGAUAUGCUCGGGGACUGGUAAAUUCAAUUGUAUAACUUCGGCUCGGUAAUUUUAAUUUUUUAGACCUUGCUACAAGGCUCAUACUUCGCCUUCCAGCAAGCUCGGAGACUACAUCGGUACGAUGCAUCUGGCGAUGCAUUUCAGUAUCAGGUUUUCUAUGUGGUUUUUCUCUUUAGAGCCUGGCACCACAUGCCUACGUCACCUACUGCCAGGCUCGGGGACUAAGUGGGCACACUUCACCUUGCGAUGAAUAUGCUUGCUUUUUGAAAGUCUGUACUUUUCAAAAAAGUAAAGUGGGCACACUUUAUCAGAAAAGAAAUCUUUUUUCUCAAGAGCACCAUACAUUCUUCGAACAACCGGCUUCUUCGAUGUUGAUGAUGGUCAACUGAUUGUCAAGUUGGUCAAAAUAAAGUGACAACUGUUCGGGUGACUUUCCUGGUUGUCAAAGAUGUCAAGUCUUGCUGGUCGAAGAAGCUCAAGAUGGCGUGUUGCAUCAUAAUACAUGGAGCUCGGAGACUAGCUGUGGGGGAUAUAAACCCCUAUACCCUUACGGCUAGACUUGGGCCUGGAGGCUUGGCUCAUUACGAGACGAGUUCGAGGCUUGAUCCGACUCUUCGGAGUUUCGCGCAAGGAAACAAGACGUGGAGAUCAAGCAGGAUUCUAGUACUAUCUAUGGCAAUUGUAACUGACUAGGAUUAGUUUCCAGAUCUGUAACCCUGCCCUCUGGACUAUAUAAGGAGAGGCAAGGGACCCUCCUAGACAAUUAAUCCCAACUCAACACAAUACACAGCAAUACAAUCAGACGCAGGGCGUAGGUAUUACGCCCACACGGCGGCCGAACCUGGAGAAAAACCUUGUCCGUGUCUUGCGUCACCAUCAAGUUCGUAGCUUGCGCACCGUCUACCGAUAAACUACUACCCUGGGCAUACCCCAAGGUAGACUGCCGACCAGCUUUCGUCGACAGGGCGUCUCUAGGCAGGGGCCGCACGGUGUCCACCUCGAAGGGCUCCACAGCAGCGGAUUUGACACUGGUAGAGCAGAUCCAACGAGCGGUGUGGAGAGGCCAGGUCUGAUGGGGGCGCGGUGUAGGACACCGGAUCGGUGGUGUUGCGGUCUGGGGACGCCGAAUCCGGUGUUGCACGGCACGCGGUGGCGCAUGGGGAUACACGGGGGGCUCCAAAGUGGGUUCAUCGGUGGGCUUUCAUUUUUUAUUUUUUUAAAUAAUUUUCAGAGGCGGGCAAAGCGACCGCCUCCGUUAAUCUCCAUUAACCGAGGCCUUCAAUUGGAGAUGGUUGUAAUGUCCGCCUCCAAUAAUCGAUUAUGCCUGUCUCUGAAAAGAUUUGUGAAGUAGUGGAUCACUUCACUCACGUGAACAAAAGCGUGAGGGAUGACUAAAAUUGACAUAUAUGUGUUUGGAUUGGAGCUUCCCAACACUCAAGGUUGGAAAUGUAUCAAAUAUUUACUUAUAGUUGAAAAGGGUUUAUAUAGACUUGUGUUGUAAUUAGUAGUAGAGGGUUCAGUAGAGCUAAGUAUUGGACUCUUGUAAGAGAACUCUAACCAAACCCUUUGAACCCUCAUAGCUAAAUAUGAGUAUCUAGAAAUAAAUAAAUAAAAAGCUUUGGUAGGGCUCCUAUUAAAGCGCCCAGAUUUGGGUGGGCACCAAAAUCAUCAGUCAUCACACCACGGACAUGUUCCUAACGGACUUUAAGACGGUCCAACAGACUCAAAGGCGAUGAUAGACACCUAACAGCUGAACGCUGACUUAUUUCAACGAUUUCCCUUGACUCCAGUUGAAUUUAGACCUCAAACCAAAGGUAUUAGUUGGCUUAUGAAAUUACGGAAUGACGAGUUGUCUUCUAGAAGAUUUUUGUGGCCUUUAUCAUUCAAUUUUUAUUCAAUGACAGAUUGACACGUUAAAAUUAGAAUAAAAUAUCAAAAUAAUAAAAUGAUACAUCAUAUAUACAUGUAGUUUUACAAUCAAAACCAAUAGAGAAAUACGGAAAAACAUUAAAAAAAUCUGUUCUGCAAACACAAAUGACUAAUACCCGAUUUUGAUGUCAAGGCGUGCAUGUCGAUUUGACCUAUUAAUCGACAAAGGUGAUAACUUGAAUACUUUUGUCCUGACAACAGCGAUGCACUCGGAUGUCACGGCCAAGAGGUACUCACACGGAACUCGAGAGUCGUCGAGUGUAACUCGUCGAAUCUUUGAGAACUCGUAAACAGAAAAAAUAUGUGAAUUGACGAAGUCGUUGAAAAAUAGAUGCAAAAGUAGAAGUAAAUUUGUGUUUGGUAUUGAUUGAUAGGUCUAUAUUUAUACCCUGGCCUAAAGAGUUACAACCAAAUAUGACUAGGACUCAAUUAAAGUAAACAAGACUCUUACAUUUAAGGCAUACUUAAACAUUUAUAGAAAAAGAAAACAACAUCUAUCUAUUCCUAUAUCCGCCUUAAUCACGAUGAAGUCCUCGUCGGCUCCUGUCCCACCGGCAUGCACAUGUCUCUCCUCCAAUAGUCUUUAUGUUCUUCUUCAUCGGCAUCGGCAAUCAUAACGAGUAUCGGCAAUAGUUUUCAACCCGUCAUCAGCAAAAUAUCACCUCCGAUCUAACACCGCUGAACCCAAGAUAAUCUUCCCAGCAAUCGGCAUCUCUUAUCGUCAACAGUUUCCAUCAGCAUAUUCCUAUCGGUACAUUUCUGCUUAACACAAUCGACUUCCUCGCUGUCGAUCGGUCCAUUCUUGACAUGUGCUAAAAACGGUGUCAACACAUGCCCUCCAAUUUCGGAGUAUAAGGUCAUUUAUGCCCCGAAAUUUGCUCCAGAUAAUUACUGCCUUUACAUAAUUAUCUUUUUUUUUGAUAAAGUCUGUUACCAAAUCCAGAUCAAGGUUGACGUAAAGGAAACAGCUCAUCGGUAAGAGUUCAGUACUAAAAUGCGCUGCCGAUCUUAUUAAAAUAUUCCACACAUUGGAAUAUCCCUAAAAUCAUGAUUGCUUGCCAUUAAAUCAUCCACACAAUCCUUUGAUUGUCGUGCGAACAGUUACCAUAUCCAUCUGAACAACCUCGAAUUUUACGCAUACGGUAGAGAGAUAAGUCUUAAAUGCCCUUGCCCGGCUCAACCUAUAAAUACAUCCCUUCUAGGCACUCAUCUUCUACCUCGCCAUUUUCCAUCUCCAAGACCUACUCCUUCUGGCAGCGAUCUUCGACAAGCAAGUACAUAUCUUCAUCUAGCAAGAACCUUCCCUUGCAGAAUCCUCAAGUUUUUGGCCUUGCCUCCAUUCUGCUCAGAAGAAAUGGCGAUCAACUUCAACGUCCCUGAGGUCAACCCCGCAUUCACCCUAUUUUACUAUAGUUCCUAUUUCUUUCAUAAGUUCAUAUGCUUAGCGAUUUUCUUUUCUUUUCCUCUGCCUCUUUGAUCUUUUAAACCUAGGAACUGAGCGACAAAAUAGUUAUCCCAACCGAUCAGCCACACAUCCAAUGCUUGGGCCCGAUGGACAAUCUAGAUCCAACCGAUCUGAUAAACGCAGAGGCUAAUAGAAUCCCAUUCAUAGCCAAAAACUUCUCCUUAGAUCUGUGGAAAGAUACUUUCCGAUCCUGGCCCAAAACCACCAAGGGAUGGAAGAAUUGGUUUCUGAGGGUUAGUGGAGCCAAUGAGGUAUACUGGGCAGAACGCAAGCUAGAUCAGUGCGUUAGGCUCUCCAUGCCGAUAUGGAGAAAAAUGAGUCGAUAAUGAUAGCAGCUGCUUAUUUCUGGUCAGAUACUUUCAAUGCUUUCAUGUUUGGUCAUGGCCCAGCUUCCCCUUCUCUUGCCGAUGUGUACAUGCUUACGGGCUUGGAUAUUUCAACUGCCAAUGAUGGUAGGCUCUUCAACAGAAAGUCCGAUUACAAAGUAGACACCCGUAACAUCGGUGGCUGGACAGGAUAUGUCCAGAAAUAUCGGCAAACUGGAUCGGUUAGUCAGAGAGAGCACGCUAUCUUCUUGAAUAUGUGGCUAGACAGAUUCAUUUUUUACGGCCGAUCGGUAGGGCCAACCUGUGUUUAUCUCGCAGCAGCCGAGCAAUUAGCUAAUGGUUCUAGAUUCCCUCUUGGCCGAUACCUCUUGAGCUCCACCAACUAUCUCCUCCAUCAAGUGACUAAGAAACUCCUGCUUGGCAAACCUAUCGGUAAUCUGGGAGGCCCCUGGUGGUUCAUCAAUAUGUGGCUAAAUGCCCAUAUGCAUAAGCGUCUGCAGUGGAACUUUUUCACCCAGCAAUUCCCUCGAGACAUCGCUGAAGAAAACAAAUUGGCAGAAGAUGAUUCGGCAACCCGCUCGCCCCUCAAUUUCGGCGAAGCAAUCAUAGUCCUUGCUGGGACUGAAGCAAACAAAAAUCAGAUCGGCAGAUUCUUCCAGACUCUCUACAAUGGCCUAUCCUGGGAGCAUCGGGCUUGGAUGCCCUAUGUCGAUGAGGAUGCCAGAUUUCCUCUCCUCUUCCAUCCUGUCUGUUGACGGUCCUUAAGUACCAAAUAUAAUCAUCAAAUAAAUAAAGAAAAGGAUCCAAAUGCAACCAACACCAAGACUUAGGGUUUUAACUGACAGAAUUCUACGAGUUUUGGUGUUUGUCUAUUUCUGCAGGGGGUUAUCAGGAAAUAUGGAGGAAAGGCCCACACGUCGGGUUUACAUAGUGAUAUUAACGUACCGCGUAAUUUUUUAUCAUCUAGAAGAGUCCACAAGCCACGGGAACGAACGGGAGGCCGAACGGGCCUGGGGGCAGGGCGCCCGCCCUCCCCCUUGGGCGCCCGCCGUGGUACAAGCACCAAUCACAGAAUGGAGUACACCAUUACAAAUAUCUCGUCGUGCUGAUCGAAAUGCAUAUAUUAUUUGCUAUAUUUGGAGUUCGGAAUCAAGAGAUAUUAAUAAAAAAAGGACUCCACAUAAAAGAGCUGAGGGAUUAAUCGGGCCCAAAUCACAUUUUGGUCCAUUAAGGUCUAUGUGCAUUUUAAUGAGAUAUGGUGGAAAGUUUAGUACCACAUCGCCUGCUAAACCAAAAAGGCACAAAGGAGGAGGACAAUAUAAGCAAGGCCCCUGGCCCCUGGAGGAGAACACAUCAAUAUAGAGUUGAGAGGUGCCCUCGAAGGAUAACCUUUCCUCUAUAGAGAAUUAGGGCUUAGCAUCCCAUGUGAGAGUAGAACUAGUUCUACUAGAUUGAGAGAGAUAGAGUGGAGGUGUAGAUCGUAGGAAGCUCGGCCUGUCGGUGUCUACUCCGAGGUUGUAGCUACGGGAUCAAGUCUCCUAACCCGAGGCUUGCUCCUAGGAUUCUUCAGUAUUUCGACUUCUAAAUUCUAGUAAGUUCUACUGUUCUUUGGUUUAUGAGUUUACUUUAAUCUCUUUCGGUUGAGUUUAGAGUAAUCAUUGCUAGCGUAAACGUGGUGUUUGGGCUAGGGUACUCAUAGAUAUCCCCUGACUAGCUGGACCGUGGUAGUAGCGAGGAACGUGACAUUUCCGAGUUACCUUUGUAGCCCACAUCCCGUUAGCAGGAUCGAUAGGGUUUAUAGGUGCGGGUCGAACAUCCUUUGUGGUGUUUAGAUUCCGUGAGCCUCCCCAAUAGAACAGUAGAUCAUCCUUACCAAGGUUAGAACGAGACUACGGUUGUAGUCUUCUCUAUACAUCGCUCACAUCGAUUCACAUUCUUUGUAGCCUAAAGGUAGUAGCAAUAGAUUUAGUUAGUCAGAUACACGCUUUAUUCCAGUGGUAAAAAUAUAAAUACGAUACUUUGGAUAACCUCCCGGGUGAAGUGCUCACCAAUAUCCGUACGCUUGCGGAUCAUUUCCUGAUGGCGUUACCAAAUAUCAACAAGCAUUUCUGGCGCCGUUGCCGGGGAGAAAGACGGUUUGCUGAGAUAACUUUAAGUCUUGCUAUUAUCUUGUAUUAUACUUUUAUACUUUUAUACUUUUAUUAUUUUAUUUUUUUCCAUCUUUAUGGAUAACUCAAAUUCCACACCUAUUAUUGAAUUCUUUGCACCUUCAGAGACCAGCCAUAGACCAUGGGAGUCAACAAGUCCUUUCUUUGCCCCUAAUUAUGAUCUGUGUCCGGAGUUGAUUGCAAUAGGUCAAAACCAACCCUUUUCUAUAGCUGAGGUCCUAUCUUUUAAUCAAGAAGAUAAUGAACUUUUAGCUACACCUAGGGAAUCUUUUAAUCUUUCUAUAAAUUAUAUUUUAGACCUAGCCCUACAAGACCAUGUUUUUCCUUAAUAUUUUCACAUUGGUCUUAAUCAUAUAACCUUUGGUAGAUUUUUUCUUUCUUUAUCUGUUAGUAAAGCAAAGUAUGUCUUCAUUCGUGGACAUCCUUAUUGCACUAGUCUUCAUAAAAAAUCCUAGAGAUAGAGAAGGAAUCAUCUCCGAGACGAGGAAAGGAAGUUUCAAUAGCCGAUUUCCAAACAUUUAAAUCCCAUGAUUCGGCUAUCCAACCCAAACUAGUAGUGCUCCAAAAUCAUCUAAGGGAAGAAGAAAUUCUACCUUUAGAAAUUCAUUUUGGGAUGAGCUUAAACUUCCUGCUUCAUAAGAGACCUUUGAGUGCAUAUAGUUUGAACCUUCCUAAGAAGGGUUCUCUUAGAAAGCAUCUCAAAUCCAAUCCCUUUGAUGGACAUCUAGAAAGACUCAAGGAUGGCAUCUUAAGUGAUGCAACAGAAGGAGAGCGAAGCCAUUUAGAAAACAAUCUCAUCUUCUCCCCUUCUACGCCCACUUUUUAUGACUCAUUCGAACCUAUCUUUAAACCCAUCCUUGAGCCUAAUAAUUUCUACUAUGCUCUUUCUCUUGAACCUCCCGAUGAUCCUAUGAAUCUCUCUAGACAUCCCAUGCAUAAGAGUCACCAAGACCACAAGGAGGAUCGAGAAGAGCAACAUCAAUGGCCAGAGGGCAUUAAAAAUCCAUGUGCUAUCACCAUUGAAUGGAUUGAUAAAACGAACUUGAGAGACAAUCCUAGAGGAAUUUUAAGCAUUCAUGAAGAAUCAUCCUUAGAGUUUGAGAAUGAGAGAAACAACAGUGAGCAUGGAAGUUAUUUCAUAAAUACCUCACCAAGUCCUUGCUCAUAUAAAACAUCUCUCCAAUCAAUUGGUCUCUCCAACCUUACCACAUUUGAGAUCUUCAACCCCCUCUUCCUUUCUAUUUAUAAAAACUUUAAAAGGGCGGUUGUCGAUGCAUAUGUCUAUAAUAAAUAUUGCAGAUCUCGUUGAGUUGAUCUUGAUAUAGGUCAGCGUUGGAGGGGAAACCACUUCGCUAACAUAAAUUGAUGGUUUCCCAAGGACAAGCUUAGUGUCCUAAAACAAGCACUUAUCAGAUCGUAACAUGAACUUUUAAUUAUUUGCAACAUUGCCUUGUGUAUUGAGCAUAUAAAGAUAAUUGUAGAAAUAUUCCUUCGGGUAUUCUUGUCACUAACCUUUCUAGGAUUGGAGCAAGAAGAUCGGAUGAAUGACAAGCACAAGGUAUGUCCAACCAAUCAUCAUACAACAUUGAAUUAAAUUCAUCCAAACUUGAAUUUUGCAAAAUUCAAGCUUGGGGGAGUACGUUACAUAAAAACAUCCUUUGCCAUGUUGCUAUGUUGGUUGUCCCUACCUUUGAGGCAUGCUCAAUUGAUUAAAUACUAAUCACACUACUUCAUCUCCACUUGAGUAGAUCUCUAUAAAUGCCAUCACGCUACCUUUGUUUAUCCUAGUAAGUGUUAGUUUGGAAGUACUGCACAUACUUCUAUUGGCUUUUAAAUUAAGCAUGGUGCUUAGGUUAAACAACCUUCCUUAAUCUGAUUAGACAUGGAGUCUAGUUCGGUUAUUGAACUAAAAACUGCUUGUGUAGACAUUGGUAUAUUUUGUCGGACUAACCCCUGCAGAAAAACUUUCAAUAUCAAUUUGGGAAGUCCUGAGAUAAACUCACAUUGGAGACAAAGAGAGAGACACAUGAAGGUUAACAAUUUGCACAAGGAAGACAUAGCUCAUUCAUCAUAGAGAGAUGAUCCAUGGAACAAGACAAAGAGUGCCACAAACACGAUGCACAACCGCUAAGAAAGGAAAGCUUCCACAAGGUGAUACUGUACCAUCACUCUUCAAGUAAGGUAACAUCUUAAGAUAUGUGACUAUCACUUUUAUAAGCUUCUCCUUGGUUCUGGCGUUCACAUAAAAUAAAGAGACAAACAUGUAUGAUUUGUAACUCCAAAUUAACCAAACCAAUUAAUUCAACAUGUUUAGUCCUUUAAUCUUUGUUCUUAGUACUACCUUCAUGAUCCCACACUCCUAAUCUUAUAAGCUAAAAUGUUGCACAUUUCAAUCUUUGGAAGAUAUAAACAAAACAUAAAUAUAGAUAGAUUAUCUUUCCAUUAGGUUGAGCAAUUUGAUCUGACAAAUGUUUCAAAUGCUUCACUCGUGAUCCAUCAACUUUGUCUUGCUCACUAUGCUUAAGGUUAGAGAAGAACAAAUACACUUUUGGUUCCAUUGGUGUUUUUCACUAAUAGGGCCCAUGCACUUGAUCUCCGCCUUGUCUCUAUGAGCAGGUACACUUCGAGCAAAACCUGAAGGAGUUUUACAACUCCUAGACUCCACCAAGUGAAGGACUUGGAUCUACAAGCACAAACACACUGAGCAGGAUGCUGCCAAUGCCACAUCUCGAUCUGCUGGACAAACGAAGAACAUUGGUGACACCGUAUCAAGAAGUGCAGAUGUCAAGGCCCACACCUAAUCAAAUGAUGCACCUAAAGGAUGAACACAGUGAGAAGUCUCGUCCAGAAGACUUAAAACAUUGGAUCCUUGCCGGAAGAGGUCAAGAUCGUUGACUCAAGUCGCCUUUCCUGAUCAAGAAGGACGACCCUGGUGUUCCAAGCGUCGAGUGCACAAUCAACGGAUACUCUUUUCAGAAGACACUCUACGACACCGGAUCUGACGUCAACAUAAUGGCCGCAGUCACUUAUCAGCUCCUGCAUGGAACCAUGCCCCUACAACCAACAUACAUUCAGCUCCAGAUGAUUUUUAGGUCAUUGACAUGGAAGAAGACGAGUAAUCCAUCCAUCAUCCUUGGAAGAUCUUUCUUCAACACUAUCAAAGUUAUCAUCUAUAUUGGAACCGGAGAAGUCCACAUGCACUUCCCCUCUGAGAAGGUACGCCACUACUUUAAUGAUUCUAACUAUAUAGUUGAAGAUUCUAAGCAGAUCAGGAUGAGAAGAAGGCGACGCAACCGAAACCAGAGGAGGCAAAUCAUCAAGGAUGGAUGGGAAGACUACAAAGGAGAUGUAAUAAGGUCCAAAGAUAUACAUCUUGAACAGGAUUGUCCAGAGGAGACUGUAGCACUAAAUCAGGUGUAGAUAGAGAAGAGAGUUGUACUAGAAGAGGAGGCGCCGCCGGAAUCCUAGGACGACUCAAAACACAAGGAGUCCCGUUCGGAGGACUUAAAAACGCCGAACGUUGUGCCAAGAGGUAAACUUGGUAGUUGUCACCUUCCCUUCAAUUAUUUAUUUUCUUUAAAUAGCUUGUUUAGUUAAUCGGGUUCAUACUAUCUUGAAAAAAAUAAAAAUGUUAAAAAACAGUAAGCCCCAUGUGAGUAUACGAGUGGCAUAAAACCCAUAAGUACAUUCACUAUGGUGGCAUAAAAAUAAAAUAAAUAUUUUUUCUGCUCUAUAAAAAAUGAAAAUAUAAAAAUAAGGUUGUGAUCCUACCAAAGAGAGUAACAUUUAUUGAGGAGGCUCAACAUGAUAAAGGCAAGAUAUUUAUGCUAACACUUAACCAGUUCCACAAAGCUUUGUUGUCUAUUUGAGUUCCACAGAAUUCAAGGAUCAAAGAAGACUAGCCGACGGAGGAUAUAGUAAUCGCUGUCAGGGUACUACCGACAUUCAAAUACAUCUGUGUCACCUGCUAGCUACAUCAGAAGAAAUUACGUCAAAAUCCAGCUUGGCGGAGAGCACCCCUAUUUAUCCAGCUAAGUGUUUCUACUCGCGUUUAUACUUUACUCAAAUAAUAAAAAGAUGCAUAAUCAUGAAAACCCAAAUAAAAAUUUUGUGCUUAUAUAUAUCUUUGCUUAGUUUGCUAAAUAAAUAAAUAAAGUGUCUGAACUUAAAUGAUAAACUCUUACAUGGAUAUAAUAAAUAGUUGCUCUGCCAUGUACCUAGUUUUCAAAAUUGAGCUCUCUCUCAAGUUUAGGCAUAACUGUUAUAAUUUAAACCUGCUCUAAACCUGAACUUGUAGGAAGAGUACUUGAUCUAAAGUCCAAGUCAUUAACGGAUAUGAUAUGGAAAGGUUGAGCUGCUGUUUAUCUGUUUCUAGAGUUGCUAGAAUUAUGGAGAAUUUUAUCUUUGAAAAUCUUUAAAAUAACACAUGAUGAGUUCCUGUAUGAUGAGAGUUUAAAAUCCUACCACAGCCACAUAUACAUGCUUAUUAGACUAUGAACCAUACAUUUACUUUUUACUGCUUAUUAGCAUUGAGUGUGGUCAAGCUGUGUAGACCCUUAGGAGCUUGUUAUACAGUUAAAAUCAAGAUCCACUUGCACGUUCACUCAUACAUGCUACUUCUACUCCGGAAGUGCGCAUCCACAUACAUCCACUCAAUUCCAUGUCCAGAUUCACCUAAAAUUAUUCUACUCCUAAUCCGGGAGAGAAUAGCCAAAAACAUUCUCUUAUUUCUAUUUUUCCCUAUGAAAUAAAUGCUCGAGUUAUCUUGGUUACUACCACUUGCUAUAUUAUUUCACGAGAUGAGUGCUUUAAAAAAAGAAGAGAAAGAGAAAAAAAUACGAGGAAAUAAAAAGGGGCAAGUGCCCGGAACCUCGAAAGAAAAGAAAAAGUGAGACGAGAGGUAAAAAUAGACAAGUGUCCGACACUAGAAUUAGGGAUACAAGAUACCCACCUGAGAAAAAAGAAAAAUAAAAUAUAGAGCAUCUCAUUCUCCUCAAAAAGCUUCAAAGUGCAAGAAAGGUAUGUAUCCCCUAAAAAGAGCAAAAAUAGAAUUAGACUUUCACCAUUGUUGUCACCAUCAUCACCAUACACCAUUCAUUCGCCACACAUGCACAUCUUGAUUUGACUUAUUGACUUGUUUCUCUGGAUCCAUGGUUUGACUAUGCAAUAAAUGUCUUGUAAGUAUGUAUUAUCUGUCUCCCACCUAUGAGCUCCAGAUACCAAAACCUUAUUAGAGUAGGAUUAGAGAGAAGGCAAUGUCACUAUGCCUCGUACCACAAAUACCACAUACUUUGAAAGAAGGCAUAUACCAUCACUGCCUUGGUAAGGAUCCAGAAAUACCACAAAAGAGAGACUAGAGAGAGUCAUACAAGGAAUCUCUGAGUUUUAUUUUGAAAAUCUGCAAAAACUCCAGAGCUAUAGUUAAUCAAAGAACAAGAGACAUGGCGCUUGACUUGACCGUUCUAUCUUAACUGCUCAAGACACAAGUGACGGUUGCAAGCCCCAUGGUGAAAGGUAAAAUGAGUAAGUUUUAAGUCUUAACAGUUUACUCUAACUCAGAGAUGAGAUCUUGCUUGAACGCAUGUGUACUUUUAAGGCAUGAAACCACUGCAGAAAGUCUUCAGUCCAUCCUUGCUUAGGGACGAACAAGAGGUAAGUUUGGAGGAGUUUGUUGACGGUCCUUAAGUACCAAAUAUAAUCAUCAAAUAAAUAAAGAAAAGGAUCCAAACGCAACCAACACCCAGACUUAGGGUUUUAACUGACAGAAUUCCACGAGUUUUGGUGUUUGUCUAUUUCUGCAGGGGGUUAUCAGGAAAUAUGGAGAAAAGGCCCACACGUCGGGUUUACAUAGAGAUAUUAACGUGCCGCGUAAUUUUCUAUCAUCUAGAAGAGUCCAGAAGCCACGGGAACGAACGGGAGGCCGAACGGGCCCGGGGGCAGGGCGCCCGCCCUCCCCCCUUGGUACAAGCACCAAUCACAGAAUGGAGAACACCAUUACAAAGAUCUCGUCGAGCUGAUCGAAAUGCAUAUAUUAUUUGCUAUAUUUGGAGUUCGGAAUCAAGAGAUAUUAAUAAAAGAAGGACUCCACAUAAAAGAGCUGCGGGAUUAAUCGGGCCCAAAUCACAUUUUGGUCCAUUAAGGCCUAUGUGCAUUUUAAUGAGAUAUGGUUGAAAGUUUAGUACCACAUCGCCUGCUGAACCAAAAAGGCUCAAAGGAGGAGGACUAUAUAAGCAAGGCCCCUGGCCCCUGGAGGAGAACACAUCAAUAUAGAGUUGAGAGGUGCCCUCGAAGGAUAACCUUUCCUCUAUAGAGAACUAGGGCUUAGCAUCCAAUGUGAGAGUAGAACUAGUUCUACUAGAUUGAGAGAGAUAGAGUGGAGGUGUAGAUUGGAGGAAGCCCGGCCUGUCGGUGUCUACUCCGAAGUUGUACCUACAGGAUCAAGUCUCCUAACCCGAGGCUUGCUCCUAGGAUUCUUCAGUAUUUCGACUUCUAAAUUCUAGUAAGUUCUUUGUUUUAUUGUUCUUUGGUUUAUGAGUUUACUUUAAUCUCUUUCGGUUGAGUUUAGAGUAAUCAUUGCUAGCGUAAACGUAGUGUUUGGGCUAGGGUACUCAUAGAUAUCCCCUGACUAGCUGGACCGUGGUAGUAGCGAGGAACGUGACAUUUCCGAGUUACCUUUGUAGCCCACAUCACGUUAGCAGGAUCGAUAGGGUUUAUAGGUGCGGGUCGAACAUCCUUUGUGGUGUCUAGAUUCCGUGAGCCUCCCCAGUAGAACAGUAGGUCAUCCUUACCAAGGUUAGAACGAGACUACAGUUGUAGUAUUCUCUAUACAUCGCUCACAUCGAAUCACAUUCUUUGUAGCCUAAAGGGUAAUAGCAAUAGAUUUGGUUAGUCAGAUGCACGCUUUCUCCCAGUGGAAAAAAUAUAAAUACGAUACUCUGGAUAACCUCCCGGGUGAAGUGCUCACCGAUAUCCGUGCGCUUGCGGAUCAUUUCCUGAUGGCGUUACCAAAUAUCAACACUGCCGAUGAGGCAUUGAAUAAAGAAAUGACUUGAUGAUGGCCAUCAUUACUCCCAGGGUGAUCCCAGUGAACACUUUCGGUAGCGGGAAAAAUACCAGCGCCACUUAUGAGUUCUACAACCCAUCGUCAUUAGCCUGCCUAUUGGCCUUUGGUCAACUACCAAUCAAGCUUUGUUAUGCCGAUGUGAUCAAGCCAAGGGAACCAAUUACCAGCGGUUUAGACUAGAUCAGGGUAGCUCAGCUCCCUCCCAAUGCCGAUACUACAAAUAUCAAUCUAUCCAACUGGGUGCCGGCCUCUUUCAUUACGUAGUCGUAUAAGUCAUGGUAGCAAGAAUGGAAAGGACAAUUGUUUGUUGUAUCGGCCCAUAUAUAUUGGAACAUGAUCGACCUUGAGCAUGAGAUUCUCGAUGACAUAGUGAGUCUCUUCCUAACACUUAGUCUUUUCUUUACUCCUAACUUCAUCAGUGACUGACUCUUCUAUUUGAUAGGUUGAUGACCCAGCACCCCCGAUGAGUAGAAGUGGACGACCGUUCGAUCUUCGACCAGUGUCCCCGGUCUCUUUGAUCGGCCAUGAUGCCCCCAGCUUGGCAGCUCUGAUGCACCGAGGAACUCGCCUCAAGAAAAUGACUACUAAGCGCUCAAAGGCCACUCCAUUGGUCGCAGCCGCCACCUUAGCUCAAGCCUUCAAGGUAAAAAUCCUUAAUUACUUCAUCAUGCUGAUUUCAGCCCAUACUUACACUAUCCUUUCAGGGUGUAUCAAUCACAACUGGAAUAUCAUCGGUAACUUUGUCCCGCAUCGGAUACUUUUACUCUUGAUGAAUUUUGGGAAGUAUUUUUUUGCCUUUAUACUCAACUUAUAAGACUUUUAUGCUUUAUGUGUCUUGCAGCAACAAACCAGUGCAUCGGCAAAAGCCCAAGAUGUUCAAUCAUUGGGUGCCGAUGCCCCCCAGCUAGCAGUCACCAAAGCUCAACCCAAGCGGAAGACUCCGACAAGCACCAAGACUCAGCCAAAACGGCAGAAAGCAACACCAUCCUCUCCACCUCAACCAGCACCUCAAAGUCGAGCCGAACCGGCCGAUGCACCUGAGCAGACAAUUGACCCGUCUGACCAAGGCACGUCAUCGGCCAUUGUUCCUAAGCAAACGACUAUCGCUCCCACUCAAGGUAUAAUAUUGAUCAUCCAUGAAGUUACUACCGAUGAACUUUGUAAAGAAAUUAUCAUCAUUCUCGGCACUCAACCGAUUUUGUAGCUGAAGAUAUCCCAUCGGCAGAUUCAACCGAUCAAGGCACAAUCCAAGUCGUAUCUCCCGGCCAAAGGCAAGAGAUUGCCCUAAAACAAGUAAGCCAUCUGGUUUGACCGAUUCUGCAUUAUCCAUACUUAACCCUGACCAACUUAUCUCUUUUCUGUUUUUUAGGAACAAGACUCCCCUAAUAGUCUAUUCUCUUUCGCCAUUGACAUCUCCGAUGACGAAGGGGAAGAAGCAAGCUCCUCACUAGCGCUCGAGGCCGUAUCGGUAGAAGUCAAAUCAAAGCUGGAAGACCUGUUGAGUUUGCUGCGACAAAAUAUAGCUCAGCUAGUGGAUGACUCAGACCUAGUGAAAAUCAUUUUCAAAGCAAUCUGUGGUCAAGUCCCUACCGAUGUUGAAUAAGCGCUCUUCCAAGCUGCCCAUUUGGAGAGUCGCCAGCUUCAAUAUCAAAAGGCCACUCAACGUCUUGCCGAUAGAGCUGCCGAAGCUCAUCUCAAGGAAGAGAUGCUACAAGUGAAAUCCAUUGCCGAUGAGAAGCACAAAAGCAUCGACAAUUUGCAAGUUUUAGGCACUGAAUUGAAGCAAAAGAUUUUAGUUCAGUCGGCAAAGAGAGAAGUUCUGCUAGCUGAACUCAAGUAGGUCGAAGAAGCAUUGACUUAGGCUAAGCAAGAAGAAAGCCAGCUGCCCGAUAUGAUUGAAAGUCUUCAACAAGAAAUGGACUCUCAAGCCCACAAAGCCCUGCUAAUAAAGAAGAAGCUCAAGCCAGUGGAGGGCUUAGCCGAUGAAGACACCAAAGAGAUAGAGGAAGCCAAUCAAAUUCGCCUGCGUGCGAUAUCGGCUAUCCAGACUUUGCUAUUUUUGAAAAUUUCUUCAUUGGCAGUACGUCGCAUCAGCUGUUCUAUAAGCACUAGUAUUUUGUCCAGCCGAUAGGAUUGUUAUUGGCACUUAAACUUCUUAUGCAUCGACCCAGUUACUGGGGUAGUACUUCUUCAAAUACUUUGCAUUUAAGGCUCUAGGAAACUCAACCCCUUUGAGGGUUUCUAGGAUGUAUGCAUUGUCAGGAGGAGAUCGACUUAUCUGAUAGGGACCUUCCCAAUUAGGAGACCAGUUACUGAAUUUUGAAUUUUUAGUCCCAAUCUAUAGAAUUAAUUUCCAAACUAAGUCUCCAUCAGCAAACUCCUUAGCUUUUACUCUUUUAUCAUACCAUCUAGCUACUCUCCUCUUAUUUUCUUCAAUGCUAAUCAGAGCUUUCAAACGAUGACCUGCCAAAUCCUCUAAUUCAUCUUUCAUCAGAGUAGUAUAAUCAUCAGUAGUUAACUGAUCUUGAGAGAAUAUCUGCCUAGAGCUAGUUUGAAUUUCACAAGGUAAUACUGCAUCGUGCCCAUAUACCAGCUGAUAAGGUGACACCUUAAUUGCACCGUGACAUGCCAUCUGAUAGGACCACAGGGCUUCAUUUAACACUAUAUGCCAUCGUUUAGGGUUUUCUUCAAUCUUACGCUUGAUAAGUUUAAUGAUCCCUUUAUUAGAAGCUUCGGCCUGCGCAUUAGCUUGAGCAUAAUAAUGAGAAGAAUUUAAAACCUUAAUUCCCAUACGGAUUAUGAAAUCAUCAAACUCCCCCGAUGUAAACAUAAUACCCUGAUCGGUAGUAAUCGUCUGAGGAAUACCAAAUCAGUAGACAAUAUGCUCCUUUACAAAAUCAAUCAUGUUGGCCGAUAUCACCUUUUUCAAAGGAAUUGCUUCAACCCACUUAGUAAAAUAAUCGGUGGCAACAAGUAUAAAUUUAUGCCCUUUGCUCGAUGGCAGAUAUAUUUGACCGAUUAGAUCAAUAGCCCAUCCUCGGAACAACCAGGGUUUAAUUAUAGGGUUCUUGGCCGAUGUAGGUGCUCUUUGAAUAUUGUCAAAUGUUGACGGUAUUUUCACUAUAAUUUUCGACCACUAAAACCGUCAACAAUAGUUAAGUUUUGGGGACAACACCAAGCAAGUAAGUAGUGACAUAGGUACAAUUCACUUGGUUCCACAUGUACAUAUCAUUAUUUGGAUGCAGGUGCAAACAACCACUAAUCAAGGCUGAUCAAGCUCAAAUGAAGCAAAGAUGAUCAAGAACCAAAACCACUGCAGAUCAAUAAAAGAUUGAAGAUGACAAGUGGGGACAACAUUUGGAGCAAGGUGGUGGGCCAACCCCCCUAAGGGUAGGUCGGCCGACCCACCUUUGGUGGUCUCCCACUUCGCCCACACUCCCACCGACCUUAGCACCUUCUACAAGCUUGGUGGAGCCCACGUGGAAGCAAUAGGUCGGUCGGCUGACCCUGACAUGUGGGCGCCCAAGGUCGGUUUGCCUCCACUGACCUUCCACAUGCCAAACAUGUGUGGAAAUACCUCCACCCUUGGUCUAUGGCGGUGGGUGUUGACGGUCCUUAAGUAUCAAAUAUAAUCAUCAAAUAAAUAAAGAAAAGGAUCCAAAUGCAACCAACACCCAGACUUAGGGUUUUAUCUGACAGAAUUCUACGAGUUUUGGUGUUUGUCUAUUUCUACAUGGGGUUAUCAGGAAAUGUGGAGGAAAGGCCCACACGUCGGGUUUACAUAGAGAUAUUAACGUGCCGUGCAAUUUUCUAUCAUCUAGAAGAGUCCAGAAGCCACGGGAACAAACGAGAGGCUGAGCGGGCCCGGGGGCAGGGCGCCCGCCCUCCCCCCUUGGGCGCCUGCCCAGGUACCUCAGCCAAUCAGGCUCCACCUCGCGGAUUAUGCUCCACCGACCUAAGGGAUCAAGGAAAACCGUGCGAUUAAGGUCGGUUUGAUCCGACGGCCCCGUGGCCCCUCGAGGAGGCAAUUCUCACUAUUCAUUAGCAUAUUUUCCAGAGAGGAUUCAUAGAGAGAGGUUCCUUAGGGUUUCCCACCUCAUAGGGCUUAGUGUAACACCCUAGGUGUUAAGCAUGCACUUAGUCUUACCAAAGCAUUCAUAAGCAUUCUCAUCAAGCAUAGCAUCACAUAAGCAUGUCAUCCAUCUAAAAUAUGAUUUUGUGUACUUUAUUCCAUGUGAUUUAAAUGUGUUAAAAAUAUUAUGCUUGCUUCUAAAAUUAUGAAAUAUUCAAACUAGGUUGAAUGUUGUGUAAGAAGAUUUAAGAAUAUUUUUGUGCAAUUUUUGGAGCCAUAGAAUUUGAGAAAUGGAAUUUAUACAAAAAUCCCCAAAAUGAAUUUAUUUGAAAACCUAGAGCUAGUUUUAAUCUGUAAGUCAAAUUCUAUUUGGAAUUUGGUCUUGCUUAUUAAAACAAAGUUGUAGGGUUUUUGUUUUGGAACAACUUUACUGUUGGGGGAAAAGGGUGAAAAGGAUUUUUUUAAAUAGUCCAAAUGAAUUUAGAAAGAAAUUGAGAAAAGUAUUUCAAAAAAAAAGGGGACAGGCGCUGCUGGGCCGACCCGCCUCCCUUUCGGCCCAGCUGGACAGCGCGGCCCGCUCCCCCUCUCCUCUCUCCCGCGUGCGCGGCGCCCGCCUCGCUCCACCCGGCACCGGCCACGUGGCGGCCGUACGCCGGCGUUGGACGCGCCGCGGCCGGCCACCUCCACCAUCCUGGUCGGGACGCCGCCCCGCGCCCCCAGACCACUCCCUCCAUUCUGUCGCCUGCCUCCCCCUCUCUCUUCUUCCUCCCCGCGCACGCGCAACAGCAGCAGCAGCUCCGCCCGCGCCAUUGCCGGAGAAAGCUCCGCCGCUCGCCGCCGGUCGCACCAGAGCUCCAACCUCGACGCCAAGAGCACCAGCGCACUCGCCGUCGCCGCGGUAAGCCCCUGCGUACGCUCUACCGAGGUGAGAAGAAGCCGUGCACCGUGAAUCGCUCGCCGGAGUUGCUCCGACCUCACCGGAGUGCUCCGCCGCGACGGAUCUUGCGAUAUCCUGCCUAGUUUCGCUCGCUCUUUAGCGCGUUAGGUCCGUAGCUCGAUGGGGAAGCUCGGAGGAGCUUUUGCGCGCGCUCUACCGCACCGGAGCGGCCUGGCCAUGGCGAGCAGCGCCGCCAUGCACGCUCGUCGGAGGUGUUCCGGUCAUCCUCCGGCCAAUCCGAGGGUACCCCUGGAUGCGCCUCGCUGUGGGGAGCACGCUGGUACUCACCCCGUGGCCGGUGACCUCGCCGUCGGCGAAAGCCGGCCGGCCGAAGUUGGCCGGAGCUCUGCAUGGCUAACCUGUGGGGCCCCGACCCCUGGAUCCCACCUGUCAGCGCCUGUGCGGGUGUGGAUCCGGGUGAAUCUAGCGUUUUCCGUCGGUUUUCUUAAAUAAAGGUUUUCUAGAAAUUGAUUUAAAACUUGUAAAAUCCAUAUCUUGAGUUCUACAGCUCCAAAUCUGGUGAAAUAAAUUUUGGUGUGCUCUUUAUUCUCAGAUCUACGGUUUGAUGUAAUUGCAUGUCAUGUUUGAAUAACUUUUCUGUAUAAAUAUAUUUAAUCCAUGUUUUUGCUGAAUUUGGAAAAUGCAUAGUAAUUAAAAUAUGACUCGGAAAAAUGUGAAACUUAUUUUGUUGGCUCUGCAUGUAUGUUUAAUCACUGGGAAAAUGUUGCUACACAUUAUUUGCUGAAUAAAUGAAUUUAUGAUGAUUUAAAUGCUUGCAUGGCAGUGGUUUAUGAUUUUUAAUAAAUAAUCGGAUCAUGCAAUUAAUCUGGAAAUUUUUGUGGGUAUUUCUUAUGAUAUUAGGAAAACUAUAAAAAUAUGAAAUCUGCUAUUUGACACUUAUACCAAAGUAGAGUAAUUGUACUUGCCUUUAUUACUUAAUCUUGUGAUUUUUGUAGCUCAAAAUAAGUGUCCAAAAAUUAUGGAAAAUUUAUGGUGGACUUUAUGCUUGAUUGGUAGUCUCCUGUAACUUUUGUGGAAUUUAUUGAUAAACAGAACUACAUGCUAUUUUGAUGGGCCAAGAAAUGAAUAAAGAAAUUAUGAAUUGUUUUAUGUAGAUUAAGUAGAAUAAAAGGGGAUUUGGUGUAUCUUUGAAGUAUCUUGUGAGUUGCUGGUUACACUCGAAAAAUAAUUCUGUAAGAAAGAAGGAAAUGGAUGCUUAGUGUAAUUACAUGUUCUUGGAUGAUGUUGACUACCUUGUAAAGAGCAUGACCAAUUAAAUCACCUAUGCAUCAUGUCCUGGUCAUUUGGUACUUUCUCAUACAAGCAUCCACUCGGGCAUCUCGCACUCCACUCAUGAGCACACAUGCAUCAUACAGGCUCGCAGGAGAACGAGGUGGGACCCGAGGAGCCAGAGGAGACCCAGGAGCAGGAACCUCUAGGAGCACCGGAACCCGGAGAAGAGCUGCAGGAGUGUCCGGAUCACAGACCAGCACGUUUGAGAAAGGCAAGCCCCAGAGCAUUCUAAGUCUCCCUAUUCUCGCUAACUUACAUGAUAUACUAUGCUUGUUCUACUAUGUUGCAUGUACGUGAUAGGAAUUGCUUGAACCAUUGAUGCAUAUGUACUCCUUGCUGUCCCUACUCGUUUAUCUACCUUGUCCCAUGUAGAUAGGCACGGAGUCUAUGCUUAGCUUGCUUAGUCCGGUAGAAGUCGGGUGAUUUCCUGUCACCUGCGAGAUAUAGGUGGGUACCUGCUUGAUUUAAGCAGUGAUUGCUUUGGGAAAGGAUAACCAAGUGUGGAAUGAAAAUUUGAGACCGGGCAGGGUCUUAUGGUGGGUUGACUGUAGUGCCCCUGCCUGUGUCAAUUAAGGACUGAUCGUUGACGGCCCUCUUGUCAUGUUGAACGCAUGCCCCACAUUUAGCUAGAAGGAUAAGUCGUUCCGACCGCGAAACCUGAGCACUAUCCGGGCCGGGAAUCGACCCGAUGUACGCGCUGUAUUGGUGAUGGUUGAGGAGAACGACGAGGGUGCGGCGCGCAACCUUGGUAUACCUUGGAUACCUCGGUCGCCGGAACGGUCCUCGGGUACGGGCGGUGCCUGUCGAACCCGCGAAUUGGUCCUGGAUAGUGCAAUACGGUGAUCUGUAGCUCACUUGAUCAGUGAGUGUGGUUUGUGUGGGGAAUAAACUCGCAAGCUGGUUAGAAAUCGAUUCGAAUCGCCAUCGCUCCUGGAUAGUGAGCACUUGACAUGAGCUUUGUCCUCGUAGUAAGGACUAUGGAACACUUGGGCUAUAAUGAUAAAUGGUUGCAUGAAUGCUAUGAUGAGGUACCAUCAUAUUACUAUACUUGCUUGUAAUAGUACAGGUGCAAACCUAGAGAAUAGGUAAUGAUACUUCAACUUGAGCUAAUUAAAUGAAGGAGGACCUCUAUAGAAUUUUGGUCAACAGAAGAGUGCUUUUAUGCAAAAAGGUUGUCAGCUACCCCACUAUAUAGCCUUCAUGAUCCUUGAUAAGUCUUUAUUUUUGAGUUAUGACGGGUAAGUCUAGCUGAGUACAUUCUCGUACUCAGGGUUCUAUUCCCAAGUUAUUUUGCAGAUGGUCAAAUGUACUAUGGUUAUUGCAUCCUCUGCCUGUACCCAGCUAUGGGCGAUGACUAGACCAAGGGCGAUGGUCACCCUACCUCCUCUUUUGCUUUUGUGGGAAUGACUGAAUUAUGGCACUGUAUCAGACUAAGUAUGUGUGUGUUAUUUUCGAACUAUGAAGCUUCCGCUACUUAUGAACUUGGCUUGUAAUAACUUUAAGCACUCUGAUGUAUCGUAUGAAUGUUUUCGAAACUGGAUGUAACUAUGGAUGGUAACCGCUGAACUUAUUACGAUCUUGGCUGUAUGUACGACAUGUGGUUUGAAAUCCUUCGAGAUUUCACGGACUACCGGGAUUAUAUGGGCUUAAGCUCGAUGGUUUGACUAUGCAAGUGGUCACUAUUAGGCUUAAUCUCUUAUAAUUUGGGCGGUUCUGUUACACUUAGCAUCCAAUGUGUGAGUAGAAUUAGUUCUACUAGAUUGAGAGAGAUAGAGUGGAGGUGUAGAUCGGAGGAAGCCCGGCCUGUCGGUGUCUACUCCGAGGUUGUACCUGCGGGAUCAAGUCUCCUACCCCGAGGCUUGCUCCUAGGAUUCUUCAGUAUUUUGACUUCUAAAUUCUAGUAAGUUCUUUGUUGUAUUGUUCUUUGGUUUAUGAGUUUACUUUGAUCUCAUCUCGUAGAGUUUAGAGUAAUCAUCUCUAGCGUAAACGUGGUGUUUGAGCUAGGAUACUCAUAGAUAUCGCCUGUCUAGCUGGACCGUGGUAGUAGCGAGGAACGUGACAUUUCCAAGUUACCUUUGUAGCCCAUAUCCCGUUAGCAGGAUCGAUAGUGUUUAUAGGUGCGGGUCGGACAUCCUUUGUGGUGUCUAGAUACCGUAAGCCUCCCCAUUAGAACAGUAGAUCAUCCUUACCAAGGUUAGAAUGAGAGUGCGGUUGUAGUCUUCUCUAUAAAUCGCUCACAUCGAAUCACAUUGUUUGUAGCCUAAAGGGUAGUAGCAAUAGAUUUGGUUAGUCAGAUGCACGCUUUCUCCCAGUGGUAAAAAUAUAAAUACAAUACUCUGGAUAAUCUCUUGGGUGAAAUGCUCACCGAUAUCCGUGCGCUUGCGGAUCAUUUCCUCAUGGCGUUAACAAAUAUCAACAAGCAUUUCUGGCGCCGUUGCCGGGGAGAAAGACGGUUUGCUGAGAUAACUUUGAGUCUUGCUAUUAUCUUGUAUUAUACUUUUAUACUUUUAUUCUUUUAUCUUUUUAUUUUUUCCAUCUUUAUGGAUAACUCAAAUUCCACAUCUAUUAUUGAAUUUUUUGAACCUUCGGAGACCAGCCAUAGACCAUGGGGGUCAACAAGUGCUUUCUUUGCCCCUAAUUAUGAUAUGUGUCCGGAGAUAAUUGCAAUAGAUCAAAACCAACCCUUUUCUAUAGCCGAGGUCCUAUCUUUCAAUCAAGAAUAUAAUGAACUUUUAGCUACACCUAGGGAAUCUUUUAAUCUUUCUAUAAAUUCUGGUUUAGACCUAGCCCUACAAGACCAUGUUUUUCCUCGAUAUUUUCACAUUGGUCUAAAUCAUAUAACUUUUGGUAGAGUUUCUCUUUCUUUAUCUGUUAGCAAAGCAAGGUAUGUCUUCAUUCGUGGACAUCCUUCUUGCACUAGUCUUCACAUAAAAAUCCUAGAGAUAGAGAAGGAAUCAUCUCCCAGACGAGGAAAGGAAGUUUCAAUAGCUGAUUUCCAAACAUUUCAAUCCCAUGAUUCGGCUAUCCAACCCAAACUAGUAGUGCUCCAAAAUCAUCUCAGGGAAGAAGAAAUUCUACCUUUGGAAAUUCAUUUUGGGAUGAGCUUAAACAUCCUGCUUCAUAAGAGACCUUUGAGUGCAUAUAGUCUGAACCUUCAUAAGGAGGGAUCUCUUAGAAAGCAUCUCAAAUCCAAUCCCUCUGAUGGAUAUCUAGAAAGACUCAAGGAUGGCAUCUUAAGUGAUGCAAUAGAAGGAGAGCGAAGCCAUUUAGAAGACAAUCUCAUCUUCUCCCCUUCUACGCCCACUUUUGAUGACUCAUUUGAACCUAUCUUUAAACCCAUCCUUGAGCCUAAUAAUUUCUACUAUGCUCUUUCUCUUGAACCUCCCGAUGAUCCUAUGAAUCUCUCUAGAUAUCCCAUGCAUAAGAGUCACCAAGACCAUAAGGAAGAUUGAGAAGAGCAACAUCAAUGGCUAGAGGGCAUUAAAAAUCCAUGUGCUAUCACCAUUGAAUGGAUGGACAAGGAAGAAGCCUUAAUGGAUUCUGACUUUGGCUCAAUUUCAAAUGGUGAGUUCUUGACUCCCUUUGAAAAUGAGAUUCAUCCAACUACAGAGGACAUAGGCGAGACCAAUCUAGGAGAAACUCCGAACAUUCAGAUUGGAGACGAAGAUAACAUUAAUGAGCAUGGAAUUUAUUUCAGAGCCACUUCGUUUACUCCAUGCUCAUAUGCAGCAUCUUCCCAAUCUAUUGGUCUCUCCAACAUCACCACAUUUGAGAUCUCCAACCCCCUAUUCCUUUCUAUUUAUAAAAACUUUAAAAGGGCGGUUGUCAAUGCAUAUGUCUAUAAUAAAUAUUGCAGAUCUCGUUGAGUUGAUCUUGAUAUAGGUCAGCGUUGGAGGGGAAACCACUUCGACAACUUAAAUUGAUGGCUUCCUAAGGACAAGCUUAGUAUCCUAAAAUAAGCACUGAUCAAAUCGUAACAUGAGCUUUUAAUUAUUUGCAACAUUACCUUGUGUAUUAAGAAUAUAAGGAUAAUUGUAAAAAUAUUCCUUCGGGUAUUCUUGUCACUAACCUUUCUAGGAUUGGAGCAAGAAGAUCGGAUGAAUGACAAGUACAAGGUAUGUCCAACCAAUCAUCAUACAACAUUGAAUUAAAUUCAUCCAAACUUGAAUUUUGCAAAAUUCAAGCUUUGGGAAGUACUUUACAUAAAAACAUCCUUUGCCAUAUUGCUAUGUUGGUUGUCCCUACCUUUGAGUCAUGCUUAAUUUGUUAAAUACUAAUCACACUACUUCAUCUCCACUUGAGUAGAUCUCUAUAAAUGCUCUCAUGCUACAUUUAUUUGCUUUAGUAUAUAUCUAGGUUUAGAGUAGUUUCAUUUAUCUCUUAAAUAAGCAUGGUGCUUAGUUUAGGAAUGAUGAUCAUACUUCCAAGGGAUUUUAAUUUAAGCAUGGUGCUUACGUUAAAAUGCCCUCCUAAAUCAAAUUAGACAUGGUGUCUAGGUUGAUUUUUGAGCCGAUAGUAUGCUAUAGUAGACAUUGGAUAUUUUGUUGGACUAACCCCUACAGGAAAACUUUCAAUAUUGACUUGGGAAGUCCUUAGAUAAACUCACUUUGGAGACAAAGAGAGAGACACAUGAAGUUUAACAAUUUACACAAGGAAGACAUAGCUCAUAAGAGAUGAUGCAUGGAGGGUGCCACAAACAUGAUACACAACCGCUAAGAAAGGAAAGUUUCCACAAGGUGAUACUAUACCAUCACUCUUCAUGUAAGGUAACAUCUUAAGGUACUUGACUAUCACUUUUAUAAGCUUCUCCUUGGUUCUCGUGUUCAUAUGGAUAAAAGAGACAAACAUGUAUGAUUUACAACUCUAGAUCAACCAACCCAAUCGAUUCAAUAUGUUUAGUCCAUCCACCUUUCUGAUCCCACACUUUAACACUCCUAGUGUUAGCUUGCAUGUUAACCAUGAGCAUUGCAUCAACAUAAGCAUCAUCAUCAUCACUCAUGAGCAUCAUACCAUGAUCACAUGCCAUUUACUACAUGUACUAUGUGAUUAAAUUGCUUGUGUGACUUGUUUUGAGUGACCUUAGUGUGUGACUAAUGCUUACAAAUGUUUAUUGUCUUCCAAAAUACUUUAAUCAUGUUUAGAACAUCAUUUGGAACAAAGUUCAUGUUGAAGGUUUUGGCCAAAUAUGCCCCUAAGUCAUUUUUUUUUGUGCAUAAGUCAUGGUUAACCCUAGAAUGACCUUUUUGACCCCCUAAACCUUCUUUCAAAGAUGCUUUAUGAAAGUAAUGUUAGAGACCUUCCAUGUCUAUGACACCUGAAGCAAAGUUGUAGAUAAUUUCAUAAGCUACAAAAGUUAUGUUGAUGACUUUUUAUGAAAAAGCUUAGAACACAUCCAAAAUUCACUCACAAGCCAAAAAUCAGGGCUGAUUGGGAGCCUUGUAGAUUGAAAUCCAGACCAAGUUAGGCUUUGAUCUUGUAAGCAAACUUGUAGAACUCAUGUAGCUCUAUCCAAAGGAUCAAAUCCAAGCCAAAACCAUCGAUUGAGCUGAGAGUAAAACGUUGUUGAAGAUCGGGUUUCAGUCACUGUUGGCGACGACUGAAUCGCGCGAUUCAGUUUCGUCAGUCACCGAACGGCCGACGCGUGGACGACCCGUGGCGGCCGUACGUCGACGGAGACCCCUCCUGUCAGCCCCGGCGCCUUCACUUGGACGCCACGACGCCACCCCGAGCCCCGGUCGUCCUCAUUUCGCCUCCCCAGCGCUCUCUCCCUUCUCCAUUUCGCUUCGGCGAGCUCCGCCGUGGAACGGCAGCUUUGCCCGAGCUCGCCUCGCCGCCUCCGGCCAAGCCAGCCUGCUAAAAGCUUCGCCAAAGCUUCCUCUACCUCGGCGCCACCUCCUUGGUCACGGUCGAGCACGUGUAAGUCAGCAUUGCCGAGCUCCGAGCUGUUCUCCCUCGCCGGAGUUCCGCCCGAGCUCACCGGCAACGUGGCCAGGCCUCUCUGCUCCACCAUUUUCCUUCAUUCUUAUUCCUAUCGCUUCCCCUUGACUCACUGAUACUCGGCGUGAAGCUCUACCGCGUCGCCAUUGCCCAGAUCCGCCAGCGUAACGCCGCGCAGCGCCGCCGCUCCGCCAUUCCCGACGGCGAGCACCCUAGAGUCUAGUAGAGCGCGGGUAAAGUAGGUCAACCGAGUCGCCUUGAUGAGAGGAACACGUAGAAUUGGGAAUCCUUCUGGGAUGUCUAAAAGUGAAUUGAAGACAAUUUGCUAAGCUUUCCAGAAAGUACUUACUUGCUUAGUUUGACCAACUGAUGCUUAAGUUAUGCCUGAAACUAGUGACAGGUUGGUUUGUCUACUAAACCAAUGACUGAGUAGUAGUAGCUAGGAUUUGUUUAACUUGUCUAUUUAGUCUCUCUACCAGAGAAGAAGUAUGCAUUUACUUGUUAUUCCAUGAUUCACUUAAUCUUAGGAGUUAUGCUCAUGUUAUACCUUGUUUUAUGUCCCUUUGGCUCUUCAUCAUGACAUCAUGCAUCAUAUGUGCAUUCUCUAUAUUCAUCUCCUUGUCAUGCAUACAUAGGUGUACCCAAGGGCGUGACGGUGUUGGAGUUCGAGCUGCCGGAGUCGGAAGGACAGCAAGGGGAGCUACCUCAAGGAGAUGAGGAGGAGAAGGACUUGCCGGAGUGCCCUGAUCACCGUCCCUCUACUUACGUCGAAGGCAAGCCCCGGAGCAUUAUAAGCCUCCUACUAUUUUAUUAUCAUGUUCAGCUAUCAAUUGACUAUGGUUAUAUAUUGUUGCAUUAAGUGGUAGGCGUUGAUAUGACACCCUUGCUGCAUAAUGACUACCUUGUCCACCUCAUAUCUCACCAAAGUAGGUCCAGGAUCGAAUUAAUGCUUAGCCAUGCUUAGCUCGGUAGAAGCCAGGUGAUUUCCUGUCACCUGCGAGAGUUAGGUGGAUGAUGAUCACGGUUGGCUAUAUUUGCUAUCGUGGAAUUAACCAUGAGCUAAUAAUGAACUUGAGACCGUGCGGGAUGAUGAUAGUGCAGCAACAAGGCAUGGAGGUCUUGGGUGUGAAUCUAUCCCUGUCUGUGUCGUUUAAGGACCGAAUCGCUGUACGUCCCCGUGUCAUGUUGAACGCAUGCCUAUCACUUAGUUGGCCGGAUAAGUCGUUCCGACCGCGAAGCAUACGAGUGCAACUCCGGCCGGAUACCCCGAUCUGGUUAAAGUGCGCACCCCGGUUGGUAGUAAGGAUGUGCGGGGAGUCAAUGGCGUAAGACCGAGGUGUCAGGUUAGAGUCCUGACCGUGGCAGAUUGGCGGUCCCUGGGGGUGCAGCGCCGUACGGACCCACGAAUUGGUCCGGAGUUGUGCUAAAGGUGAUCCGAGCUGCCGUCAUGAAGUAUGCUUGGGUGAGUGUUAGGAACACCCCUCCAGCUGGAUUGGAAUCGAUUCGAAUCGUCGUCUCUCCCGGAUUGUGAGAACUUGACUUGGGCAGCGGCAACGUAGAAUUCACUAAAUAAACUUAAUGGUUAUGAUGAGAAUGAUGAUUGCUAUGUGAUAAUCCGGAUAUGGUUAUUAUUGUGAUGCUUAAAUACUCAAGUGCAUACUUAGAACAGGUGCUAAUCUAGUGGAUAGUUGCUAAGUAAUGAACCUGCUGCUAAAAUGAUUAUAUAUGAGUUACUUACAACAAAGGCUUUUAUGCAAAAAGGUGAGUCAAACCAGUCCACAAAGAUCAGCCUUGCAUACUCCUUGGUGUCACUUUAUUUCUAGUUUAUGACGGGUAAGUCUAGCUGAGUACAUUCUCGUACUCAGGGUUUUAUUUACCCCUGUUGCAGAUGAUGUCCUUUAUCACGGCUAUUGGGCUAACUGCCAUCACCCGGCUGCGGAUGAUGAAUAGAUCAUGGGCGUGAUCACCUCCUUUAUCUUCAGUUAUGCUUUUGUUGGGACUUGACCAUGGAACUGGCAUGUAUUAUAAACUGAGUUGGUGUUGUUUCAAAACUACUUUGUUUCCGCUACUGCUAUGGUUUGUAAUAACCACUUUAAACUCUGAUGUGAUGUAAAACUAUGUUCUGUGAUGAAUGGUUGCAAUCUGUGAUGGUGAUGCUUGAUCAUGUACGAUCUUAGUUGUAUGUUGGUUGAAUCGAGGUCUUUUGAGAUUUCGUCGGACUACCGGGUUUAUAUGGGUUCAAGUCCAUUGGCUUGACGGCCUCCGUGGUCGCUAAUUCACUUGAAUUCUUAUAAAUUGGACGGUUCUGUUACAGCUGGCAUCAGAGCAAGAUUAAGCAUUUAACCAUCAUAGAUGUAUUUAAAAACAAAUGAAUUUGGUUUUCUCAAGCUAAUUUGGCAAAUUAGGCUAUAUAUAGGGCUGUUUUAAAAAUGUUUUGAUAACAUAUACCAUGCCAGUGGUCAUAACCUCUAUGCCCAUAUAAGGACUUUUAGGUGGCGUAAAUAUUACUAACAUGGGGGUUUUUCCUUUCGUCGUCCAUAUGGCGUGCAAUAAUAUGGAUGCUACUUGCUUAAGUGGUAAUGAAUGGAUCACAUACCUCUACGCCAUGGUAAGCAUUGGUUGUUUUCUUUCGUCGUCCAUACAGCGUGAAAUUGUAUGGAUGCCACUGUUGAUAUUUGGUAACGCAAUAAGGAAAUGAUCCACAAGCGCACGGAUAUCGGUGAGCAUUUCACCCGGGAGGUUUUCUAGAGUAUCGUAUUUAUAUUUUUACCACUGGGAGAAAGGGUGCAUCUGACUAACCAAAUCUAUUGCUACUAUCCCUUUAGGCUACAAAGAAUGUCUCUCGAUGUGAGUGAUGUAUAGAGAAGACUGCAACCGUAGUCUCGUUCUAACCUUGGUAAGGAUGAUCUACUGUUCUAUUGGGGAGGCUCACGGAAUCUAGACAACACAAAGGAUGUUCAACCCGCACCUAUAAACCCUACCCGUCCUGCUAACAAGAUAUGGGAUACAAAGGUAACUCGGAAAUGUCACGUUCCUCGCUAUUACCACGAUCCAGCUAGUCAGGGGAUAUCUAUGAGUACCCUAGCCUAAACACCACGUUUACGCCAGCAAUGAUUACUCUAAUACUCAACCGGAAGAGGAUUAAAGUAAACUCAUAAACCAAAGAACAAUAAAACAAGAACUUACUAGCAUUAGAAGUCGAAUUACUGAAGAAUCUUAGAAGCAAGACUCGGGUUAGGAGACUUGAUCCCGUAGGUACAACUCGGAGUAGACACCGACAGGCCGGCCUUCCUCCGAUCUACACCUCCACUCUAUCUCUCUCAAUCUAGUAGAAACUAGAAGAUCUAUUUCUACUUUACAUUGGUUGCUAAGCCUAAAAAGAAAUAUUAUUUAGAGAAGAGGUUUUCCUUCGAGGGCACCCCUCAAUCUCUAUGAUAAUUUCUUGUCUCCUCCAGGGGCUAGGGGGGUCUCCUUAUAUAGUCCUCCUCCUCUAUGCGUUUUUGGGUCGGUAGGCGAGGUGGUACUAUGUUAUUCUGGAUCCAAUAGGUCGGUGGAGAUCUCCCGAGAGAUAGAGUCCUGAUUGGGCUCGGCAGGUGGGCGGGCGCCCAGGUCCUGGCCCUGUUUCGCCUUCGCUUCGGUCUCGUGGCUUCUGGAGUCUUCCAGAUGGUAGAAAAUUGCGCGGUGCGUUGAUAUCUCUAUGUAAUCCUGACAUGUGGGCCUUUCUUCCUUACUUCCUGAUAACCCCUUGCAGAAAUAGACAAACACCAAAACUCGUGGAAUUCUGUCAGAUAAAACCCUAAGUCUAGAUGUUGAUUUCAUUUGGAUCCUUUUCUUUGUUUAUUUGAUAAUUAAAUUUGAUACUUAAGGACCGUCAACAAACUCCCCCAAGCUUACCUCUUGCUCGUCCCUGAGCAAGGAUGAACUCAAGAGUUUCUGCAGUGGUUUUAUUUCUUAAAAGUACACACACAUUCAAGCAAGAUCUCAUCUCUGAGUUAGAAUAAACUGUUAAGACUUAAAACUUACUCAUUUUACCUUUCACCAUGGGGCUUGUAACCUUCACUUGUGUCUUGAGCAGUUAAAAGAUAGAACGGUCAAGUCAAGCACCAUGUAUCUUGUUCUUUGAUCAACUAUAGCUCUGGAGUUUUUGCAGAUUUUUCAAAUAAAACUCAGAGAUUCCUUAUAUGACUCUCUCAGAUCUCUCUUUUGUGGUAUUUCUGGAUCCUUACCAAGGUAGUAAUGGUACAUGCCUUCUCUCAAAGUAUGUGGUAUUUUUGGUAUGAGGCAUAGUGAUAUUGCCUUCUCUCUCACCCUACUCUAAUAAGGUUCUGAUAUCUGGAGCUCAUAGGUGGGAGACAGCUAAUACAUACUUACAAGACAUUUAUUGCAUAGUCAAACCAUGGAUCCAGAGAAACAAGUCAAUAAGUCAAAUCAAGAUGUGCAUGUGUGGCGAAUGAAUGGCGUAUGGUGAUGAUGGUGAUAAUAGUGGUGAAAGACUAAUUCUACUUUUGCUCUUUUGAGGGGAUACAUACCUUUCUUGCACUUUGAAGCUUUUUGAGGAUAAUGAGAUGCUCUAUAUUUUCUUUUUCUUUCCUCUCAGGUGGGUAUCUUGUACCCCUAAUUCUACUGUCGGACACUUGUCCAUUUUUACCUCUCGUCUCACUUUUUUCUUUUUCUUCUAGGUUCCGGGCACUUGCCCCUUUUUAUUUCCUCGUAUUAUUAUUAUUUUUCUUUUUUUUUCUUUUUUUAGAGCACUCAUCUCCUGAAAGAAUGUAGCAAGUGGUAGUAACCAAAAUAACUGGAGCAUUUAUUUCACAGGGAAUAACAGGGAUAGGAAAAUAUUUUUAGCUAUUCUCUCCCGGAUUAGGAGUAGAAUAAUUUGGGGUGAAUGUGGAGAUGGAAAUGAGUGGAUAUAUGUGGAUGGUACUUCCGGAGUAGAAGUAGCAUGUAUGAGUGAACGUGCAAGUGAAUCUUGAUUUUAACCACAUGACAAGCUCCUAAGGGUCUACACAGCUUGACCACACUCAAUGCUCAUAAGCAGUAAAAAGUAAAUGUGUGGCUCAAAGUCUAAUAAGCAUGUAUAUAUGGCUGUGGUAGGAUUUUAAACUCUCAUCAUACAGGAACUCAUCAUGUGUUAUUUUAAAGAUUUUAAAGAUAAAAUUCUCCAGAAUUCUAGCAUCUCUAGGAACAGAUAAACAGCAGCUCAACCUUUCCAUAUCAUAUCUGUUAACAACUUAGACUUUAGAUCAAGUACUCUUCCCACAAGUUCAGGUUUAGAGCAAAUCUUACUUCAUAACAGUCAUGCCUAAACUUGAGAGAGAUUUCAAUUUUAAGAAUUAGUCAUGGCAGAGCAACUAUUUAUUAUUUCCAUGUGAGAGCUUAUCAUGAGGGUUUAUAGCAAACUUUAUUUUUUUAUUUAUUUAUUUUAUUUAUUUAUUUAGCAAACUAAGCAAAGAUAUAUAUAAAAGCACAAAAUCUUUAUUUGGGUUUUUAUGAUUAUGCAUCUCUUUAUUAUUUGAGUAAAGUAUAAACGCGAGUAGAAACACUUAGCUGGAUAAAUGGGGGUGCUCUCCCCCAAGCUGAAUUUUGACGUAAUUUCUUCUGAUGUAGCUAGCAAGUGAUGGAGGUGUUUUUGGAACGUUGGCAGCACCUGACAGCGAUUAGGAUGUCCUCCGUCUGCUAGUCUUCUUUGAUCAUUGAAUUCUGUGGAGCUCAAAUAGACAACAAAGCUUUGUGGAACAGGUUAAGUGUUAGCAUAAAUACCUAGCCUUUAUCAUGUUGAGCCUCCUCAAUAAAUAUGACUUAUUUAGCAGGAUCAUGCACUUAUUAUUUUUAUAUUUUUAUUGUAAGAUGAAAACUUAUUUAUUUUAUUUUUAUGCCACCAUAGUGAAUGUACUUGUGGGUUUUAUGCCAUGAGCAUAGUCACAUGGGGCUUACUAUUUUUUUUAACAUUUUUAUUUUCUUUUCAAGAUAGCAUGAACCUGAUUAACUAAGCAAACUAUUGAAUGGAAAAGGAUAACUACCAAGUUUACCUCUUGGCAAGGCGUUCGGUAUUUUUAAGUCCUCCGAACGGGACUCUCCGUUUUCUUAGUCGUCCUGGGAUUUGCUGGGUGGCGUAGUCGGUGGUUCCGGCGGCGCCUCCUCUUCGUGUAUAACUAUCUUCUCUUUCCACACCUGACUCGGUGCUACGGUCUCCUCAGAACAGUUCUGUUCAAGUUGUAUGUCUUCAGUCCUUAUCACUUCUCCUUCGUAGUCUACCCAUCCGUCCUUGAUGAUUUGCCUCCUCUGGUUGCGGUUGCGUUGUCUUCUUCUUGUCCUGACCUGCUUAGAAUCUUCAACUAUAUAGUUAGAAUCAUUAAAGUAGUGGCGUACCUUCUCAGAGGGGAAGUGCAUGUGGACUUCUCCGGUUCCAAUAUAGAUAAUGGCUUUGAUAGUGCUGAGGAACGGUCUUCCAAGGAUGGUGGAUGGAUCAUACUCGUCUUCUCCCAUGUCAAUGACCUGGAAAUUGUCUGAAGCUGAAUGUAUCUUGGUUGUAGGGGCAUGGUUCCAUGCAGGAGUUGAUAAGUGACUGCGGCCAUUAUGUUGUCGUCAGAUCCGGUGUCGUAGAGUGUCUUCUGAAAAGAGUAUCCGUUGAUUGUGCACUCGAUGCUUGGAACACCAGGGUCAUUCUUCUUGAUCAAGAAAGGUGAUUUGAGUCGACGAUCUUGACCUCCUUGAGCUGCAGUGACCAUCUUAGCUGACUCGGUCCACAUUUGCUUGUUCCUGUUCCUCAUGUUGGUCCUCUUCCUUGGUUCAUGUCGGGAUUGCUCUGAAGCUUGUGUAGUCUUGUUCUUGAAGGAAAGUCUCCUUCUUCCCCUUGAUGUAGAGACUGAUCUUGGCAGCAUUAGCGUAGAUGACUGCUCUGGUGUUUAGGAAUGGCCUCCCUAAGAUGAUGGGUGCCCUCUCCUCACUACCAGUCUCUAUCACCACGAAGUUUGCCGGAGCGUACAAGGUACCAACUCGGACACAGAGGUUCUUCAAUAUUUCCUUUGGGAAACUAAGUGUCUGAUCUCCAUUGUGUUUGUGCUCGUAGAUCCCGGUUCUUCACUUGGUGGAAUCUGGGAGUUGUAAAACUCCUCCAUGUUUUGUUUGAAGUGUACCUAUUCAUAGAGACAAGACAGAGAUCAAGUGCAUGGGCCCUAUUGGUGGAAAACACCAACAAAACCAAAAGUGUAUUUGUUCUUCUCUAACCUUAAGCAUAGUAAGCAAGACAAAGUUGAUGGAUCAUGAGUGUAGUAUUUAAAACAUUUGCCAGAUCAGAUUGCUUGACCUAAUGGAAAGAUAAUCUAUCUAUAUUUAUGUUUUGUUUAUAUCUUCCAAAGAUUGAAUAUGCAAUACUUUAGCUUAUAUGAUUAGGAGUGUGGGAUCACGAAGGUAGUACUAAGAACAAAGAUUAAAGGACUAAACAUGCUGAAUUAAUUGAGUUGGUUAAUUUGGAGUUAUAAAUCAUACAUGUUUGUCUCUUUUAUUCAUGUUUAUGCCAGAACCAAGGAGAACUUAUAAAAGUGAUAAUCAAGUACUUUAAGAUGUUAUUGAAGAGUGAUGGUAUAGUAUCACCUUGUGGAAGCUUUCCUUUCUUAGCGGUUGUGCAUCGUGUUUGUGGCACCCUCCAUGAAUCAUCUCUUAUGAGCUACGUCUUUCUUGUGUAAAUUGUUAAACUUCAUGUGUCACUUUCUUCAUCUCCAAUGUGAGUUUAUCUCAGGACUUUCCAGGUUGAUAUUGAAAGUUCUCCUGCAGGGGUUAGUCCCACAAAAUAUACCAAUAUCUACUCAAGCAGUUUUUAGUUCAGUAACCAAACUAGACUCCAUGUCUAAUCAGAUUAAGGAAGGCUAUUUAACCUAAUUACCACGCUUAAUUUAAAUGCCAUUGGAAGUGUGUCCAGUACUUCCAAACUAACACUUACUAGGGUAAACAAAGGUAGCAUGAUGGAUUUUAUAGAGAUCUACUCAAGUGUAGAUGAAGUAGUGUGAUUAGUAUUUAACAAAUUGAGCAUGUCUCAAAGGUAAGGACAACCAACAUAGCAGCAUGGCAAAGGAUGUUUUAUGUAAAGUACUCCCCCAAGCUUGAAUUUUACAAAAUUCAAGAUUGGAUGAAUUUAAUUUAAUGUUGCAUGAUGAUUAGUUGGGCAUACCUUGCGCUUGUCAUUCAUCCGAUCUUCUUGCUCCAAUCUUGGAAAGGUUAGUGGCAAGAAUACCCGAAGGAAUAUUUCUAUAAUUAUCUUUAUAUGCUCCAUACACAAGACGAUGUUGCAAAUAAUUAGAAGUUCAUGUCACAAUCUGAU